UUUCUGUGACUCCAAGUGUGGGGUGAGAUGUUCGAAAGCCGGAUAUCAGGAGCGGUGCUUGAAGUACUGUGGAAUCUGUUGUGAGAAAUGCCACUGCGUUCCAUCUGGGACUUACGGAAACAAGGACGAGUGCCCUUGCUACAGAGACCUCAAAAACUCCAAGGGCAACCCCAAAUGCCCUUAAUUUACCACUCCCCAAAUCUUAAUUGAUUUCGGACCCAUAAAACCCCACAAAAAAAAGAUAUUAACAAAAGUUGAUAUUGCAUUAUAUAUAAAUAUGCUAAGUAAGUACUCUCUUCAAUUCAGGGUGUAUAUCAUAUGUAUAAAGAACUAGUUAUACGGGUAUAUAUAUUGUCUAGUCUUUGUGUUCAAUUUAUAAAUGUAAUACAUCGCUUCCUUUAAAAAAAAAAAAAAUAGUUAUGUCAUACAAAGUUAAGUGAAUAAGUGGAGGCCCGUACGUGAUGUUGUAAUAAAAAUCUUUAUUAUAUUAUAAUUAUAUAUUAUGAUUAUGGUGGAUUUGUUAUUGGAUUUUAAUCUCAUUUUGGUUUAAUGUUCUAUGAAAGUUGUUUUUUUGUUUGGAGAAGCUUAGGAGCUAGCUAGCACGCUUUUAGCGCUGCUCUUAUCCUUCCGCAUUCUAUGAUUUUGGUACAAGUGUAAUACUCAUCUUGAUUUGAUCAAUCAAUCAUGGAUGCUCAUCUUGAUCAAGAUGACGGGAGGGAUGGAGGGCCCUGAUUGUGGCACCACUUGAUGCUUCUACGUAAUGCUUCGUUGGUUGGUGCCUUAAUUAUUAAAUUAUUAAUUGCUUCAUACGGGAAGAGUUGGCAGGUGCAUCUGCUCCUAAAUUAUAUUUGAUAUGGACACAAUUCGUAUUAAUUAAACGCGUAGUUUUAAAUGGUUCGCUUUCGAGGUUGUGUGCGGGCAUGAAAUUUUAAGGGAGAUUUUGAAAAAGGCCAGAAGAGAGAGAAAUUUUUUUAGAAAAGUCAAAAUAAAUAAAUUACCUUGAUUUAUUUUUGAAUUUUUUAAAAAAAAUCAUUUACAUUUGCAUGUCUUUGAUUUGAAAGUUGAGAGAUUUUUUUGUCUUUUUUGAAAUUCUUUUAGUUUUUUCUAAAAAUAAAAGUUUUCUUUUAACUAAAACCUAAAUUUACUGAAUUGUAAUUUCACAUGCAUCGUACGUUAAUCAUCAGGCCCUAAUCACCCUGUUUGACAGUCAGAUUGGUACUUGCCACACCACAUCUGUCGCGCCCAACCCAUCUGAGCCCUAAAUUAAUUACUCACAUAUGUUUUCUUUCUUUGCCUUCUCUUCUCUCAACAAUUUUUGCUCUCAAUAUAUAAUACACUCUGUUUCAACUUUCAAACACAUUCAAUUCAACGAGUAAAUAAUUUUGUGGCCCAAACUCUCUAUCUAAAAUUUAGGUUUUCUCUGUGUUUUCAGUUUUACAGUGUUAUAAUAUUACUAAAUUACAACUGUGAUCCCCUCCCCCUAUAUUGCUUGUAUAAUAAAAUUAAAAAAAUACAAUUAUGAUAAUAUUUUGAGUCAGCCUUAAACAUGAAAUCAAGGACGUACGGGUAGUGUAGAUCCGGUUGUUUUGCCCAACAUGAAAACAAAGAUCUCCAGUCGCCCCUCUAUCCAGCUAGCUCCCACUUUUUUUAGGAGAAGAAAGGUGGGGUGGGGUAACGGGUUGCCCUCCAAGGACAAAUUUUCAAUUCUCACAAAUACUCCCGCUAAACGCGAGUAUGAAAUUAUAUUGAAACUUAUGUGAGUUUGUUUCUCUUUUGGCCUGAAAUUGUGCAUCUUUUGUUAGUUUGUUAGAUAGCUAUGAAAUAUUUGCCAGAAAAAAUGAAAUUGUGCUGCCUGAUCCAAUGCCUUGCCUUCACUUCACAGUCAGACUCAAGAGGUGUGAUUAAACGUCAAUAAAGGGAAGACUUGGACUUAAAUCCAACUACUUCAGAGUCAGAUUAUAUGCAUGUUUAUGUACAUGCGAAAAUAGAGAGAUUUUAUUGAAAGGGGAAAAGAAAAAAAAACAGAUAAUGCAACAACAGUCCACGGUUCCAAUUAUUAUCACUCUUUUCGGUUGUUGGGAGGCAGCCAUUAAGCCAGGGUACACCAAUAAACCAAUUCGCCGUACAAGUCCAUCACUUGAUUGAUCUACACAACUAUUUUCAUCUAUCCACAAAAUCAUGCCUGUUUGUUUUGUCACCCAUUUGUUGUCUUUCCACUUUCCUAUACUAAAAUUCCAUGCACAGUAACUGAGAGGGAUUGCAGAUUUCAUCUCCUCCCAAUGUCCAGCUUCUUCAAUGCACCCACCACAUGCGUAUGCUUUUGGAGCUGUCUGAAACAGAAUAUCCACCACAGUGAGUAAUAUAAGUUCUUCCAACUACACUGUUUUGAAAAUUUCGAUUUUAAAGCGGUUGAAGCUCUUGCUCAGGAACAAUGGCCCUGGCAGCAACGGGCUCAUACGAAACGAUGUCUUGCAAUCUAUAUUUCCAAACCAACCAUGUCCCUAAUGCUAAUAAUCCAAGAACAGAGGUAACUAUAACUGCAACUGCCACCGCCCAAUAGUGUUGCUUCCACCAUGACCUGCAAUUCUCAAACAGAAUCCAAUUUUAAAGAUGACACAUAAUUUGCAUCAAAGAUUGCAGCAAAAUUCUAAAGUUAAAAUGGUUGAGGAAACAGGACACGGAAAAGGAAUCCAGCACUGCAACUAUCAAUCUACAAAAGAUUCGAUUAAACCUUACCAAGAAAACGAUUAAAACACAAGGUGAAGGAGAAAAAUAAAAUCAACAAAAUCAACCUGAUUGGCCUCUAAUCUAAUACUAGAAUGAGAUGUUUGAUUCCAGUGAAAAGAAUGCAAAAGAUGAGAACCAAUUAUGGAGUGAGAAAAGAAGAAGUACCAAAAACACAAAAAAAAUAAAAUAGACAAAAAAGAACAGACACAGUAGAGCAUACCGCUUCAUUUGAGGCUCAACCUUCAAUUUGACCAGCUGAUAACUUCCAAAUUUCUGAGGAAUAUGCAUUUGAUGUUCCUUUAACCGCCGAAUAAUGCCCUGCAAUAUUAAAUAAGAAUUAGCUUAAAACUGUAGUUGGCAUAUGGAAAAGGCUCCAAUUGCAAGCAGAUGUACUCUGGCACCAGUAGUCCUAUUACCGUUGCUUUGGUAUUAGAAAAGCAAUUUGCAGAUUCAGCAGGGACGAUCGCCCACCUAAUGACGAAGUUAUUUCCUGUAUGGGUGUAGUUCAUUAAGCGAACCUGAAAAAGAGUUCGUUUUGUGGAUGUUACAGUAAUCCAGAUAUACAAAGGCAAAAUAAUAAUAAGAGAUACUGGCACACUGUAAGGACAGGUACUACAGACCACCAAGGGUGGCAAUUGGAUGGGCUGAGUUGGUUACCAAAGAAAAUUGAGCCCAAGUUUAAUCUAAUCAUUGAUCAAAUGACAAAGAAAGACCUUGACAGCCAUAGAACUUCAAAGCCUUUCAUUAUUUUUAAAUAUCGGGAUACCACGGGAGAGAGUGGAGUAAUUUUCUCUUGAUUCUUUCUUACAGCUGGAUGCUGAAUUCUUGAUAUCAUACAUGGUCUUAUGCAUAGUUGAGCACCUAGGAUCUAGAUAUUAAGAGGAAGAAGAUUUUUGACAGGAUGCUAGGUCGAAGAUAAAGUAGCUCAACCAUACCUGCGAAAUAUUAAGUUCCAGCUCAUGAGCAAUGGACUCUGCGAGUUCUGUGAAAUUUGGUUUGAUAGUGUUGUUGAUGCUGAGCAUCAUAUCGAAACUUAUUAGCCCUACUUGAAGUACACCUACAUAUCAAAUGUUUGAGAUGCCAUGGAAGAAAAUAGCCAAAGUUGCAGAGGGAGAGCAAAUUUCAAAUGGAUGAGAGGAGUAUAAGGUUAAAAUUUAUGCAUGUGCACAAUCCCUCCUCUCCCCAACCCCCCAAAAGAAAAAUGCUUCAUAUUUCAUGAUAACAGAAGAUAACUACUUAAGUAUAUUCAGAAAGAUGUUGACUUGGAUUAGAAAUGAGUCCAGCGAACCUAACAGAAAUGUCAAGUGUAAGAAAUUAUACUAACAGCCUAAACACUAGGGUUUAAAUCAUAGCUCUUGAACCCACUAUGGGUUGAACCACAUGCGGACACUUGCAUAUUGCCCUAUGCACAACAAUAAUUUUGAAUAGACAUAUCAAUAAACGAAAAAAAUCCUCCCUUUUUCUGUUCAUAAAUGCAAUUACUGCUACCAUUUUUCACAAAAUCUAGCUCUUCAUCUGUCUACCUGAUGCUGUACCAGUGAACUAGUGACUGAAUGUGGAUCAAUAUCCAAUAUGGUUCGAUAUUUGAUAACUAUGUUUUUUAUUUGAAAGUACCAUAAAAGCUAUUUAAACACUUGAAACCCAUUGUACCUGGAAUAAUUGUAUCAGGCAAUCCACUCGGAGCAAUGCUAGGAGAAAUUUCUACACUUGUAUUUCGGCCAUCAAACGCUGAAGGUACUGGAGGCGGAGCAUUACUAUCAUUCAAUCUCUUCCAUAGUUCAGAACAAUUGGUUUUCCAAAAGCCAAUCUUGUCGUUUGCUCGAUCAUAAGUCACAAGGGUAUUACGUGUAACAAUUCCUGUACAAUCCAGAAAUGCAAAGUGAGCUAGCUCCAUUUUUCGAUUGUGAAAAUGCUUGGACAUGCAUGUUUUGGGCAGAAAAUGGGGAGGAUACUUAUUAUUUGAAAUGUUUAAGCAAGACACGAUUUUGCAAAAGAAAUUGUAGAACAACAUCCGACCAAAUGUGAGAGAGAGAGAGAGAGAGAGAGAGAGAGAGAGAGAGAGAGAGAGAGAGAGAGAGAGAGAGAGAAUGAGUGAUUUUGUAAAUAUCACAUACCUCCUAAAAGAGUAGUCGAAUCCCCAUUUGCAAAAAUUCCGAGGCAAUAAGCCCCGCUAACCUUUGUAUGCUGAGGAUUAAGAACACAAGCAAAACAGAGGAAAAAAACAAUAUAUCAAAAUGUGCAUGAUUAAAUAAAUACAAGAAGGACCCACGCACACAACGUGAAUGCAAUAUGACUGAAGAUAAAUGACAUUUCCUACGUGAUGAUUCACAAGGACAGCUCUCUUAAUAAUAUUAUAGAUAAGAAAUCUGAAUUAUAAAUGUCAGGAAUAAAAAAAGCCUCAAAACCAUUUUCAAUCAGAUUUUCCACCAUAAAGAGGCUCAUAACUUAUUUCAAGAAGACAUGCUUAAGAACAAUAAAUAAUCAAGUUACCGGGAACAGGUAGUUCUCUGGAGACAGUGAGAAUUUUUGUCCCUUGGUAAAAACCAUAUCAACCUGUGGAAAAACCUUUGAUAGUUGGGUGACAUCCCUAAAGCACAAUUCCAUGUUAAACUUUAUGAUGAAAAACUGGGCUAAUGAGUAAAUCAUGACGAAUGAAACUCCAGAUAUGCAAACUUUCUGCAGGAAUUACCUCCCAGCACCUGAAAAGCAAAUAUCUUGAUAAUUUGGGUCAAGACCAUGAAUUUGUUUAAGGAAAUUGACUUUCCUCGUAACCUGCACAUUAACCCAAAAGAAAAUAUUACCAUCACAUGAUGGUUCAAAGGGGGUAUAGAUUGAUUGCAAACUGAACCAAUUUAUGGAGGAAAACAGUUCAAUAAUUUGUUCCUUAAGUAAAACCCACUUUUUCCUUUUACCCUUUUGGUCAGAGUGAACUUGACCGUUUCAAUGGGUGUCAAAAUAAGCUAGACUUUAUAAGCAUUAAUACAAAGAGAGGAAAAAACUCAAAAUGUGAAGGCUUACAGCAUCCUUAAACGCAUGAAAAGCAUCCUUUGGAAGAUAUGCAUAUGUAGUUCCACUAUCCAGUACAGUUCCAUGCUUUCCGUCAAAUAUUUUCGAGUUUAACUUCAAAGGCUUCCCAGCUACAUGUAUUUCCUUCAGCUCAAUGUUAUAAUAAGGACUGUUGCAAUUCCAAAACUAAAGUAUAUGCGUGAGAUGCACAAAAUACAUUAUUCAGGAAACCUAAGUGCCAGUUAAGGGUGUUAAAAAAGGAUGCACCUGCGAAAAGGAUCUGAAUGCGUAAAUACCAUAUCAGGGGGAGAUUUGAUGCUGCCAAGAACCAUGGCACCCCCGCCUACACCCAUCCCUCCAUAACAUAAUGAGAAUGAAUCACUAAUAACCCCCUUGUCAACAAGUUGAUCCAUCACACUAAGCCGACCACGACCCAAACCCAUUAUUCCAUCAGCACGUUGGCUGUAAAGAUCACCGGUUUCAAUAUUUUCACAGCCAAAAACAGCACGCUGUGGCACAAGUUCACUUUCAUUGCCAAAAGAGAGGACGUCCUCACCAAGCACGCCACUGCUAGAGCUCAUCUCAGCAUAGCGCCGCUCAUAAGUGCAUUGGGCUUCUUUCUUGUCACAGUUACAAUUGAUAUCACACUUUACAGGUUGGUAUGUGGUAGAUAAAUCAGGCUGGAACCUUGGGUCCUGCAUAACAACAAUAUUUUAGUUUCAAGACCAAUGAGCUAAUACUAAUAAUAUUGAAACAUAGGGAGAAUCUGCAACGUAAGAAGGUAGAACUUUACACACAAGUUGAAUAAACCUUCAACUUAUGCAGAAUGAUUGACAAAAGUAGGAAAAACGGAUUUCUUCAGCUCCAAACAAGGAAAAAAAGUGAAAUUAUUACUAAACUGGCAGCUAAACUAGUGAAUGUGAUUUCACAUUGUUUUAGUCCCUACCUUCUUGUUUUCAAGAAGCACACAAAACUUUAUACUGAAUUUUAAUCAAGAACCGUGGACUGCAAUUGUUGAGCUUUUAUCGCUAGUCAGCUUAAGUCAAUCCUAAAUGGUACUCAAACAAUUCAAAAGCUAGAGGGAUAUUAAAUUGAGCAACAUAUCUACAAAUGUACGAUUAAGUAAAACCUAACUGCCCAAAACUUUAUGACUAUAAGUAAGGCUGCAAGCGAGCCGAACCUGAUGCCUACCGCACUGUUCACAGUCAAAGCAAGGCACAUAAGUCACUGUACUUCCCGUAUCCACAAUCAAAGCGAAUUGCUGAGGCGGUGUCCCAAUCCACAGCCGCGUUGUGUAGUACCUAUUUCAAAUUCCAAGUUACAGAGCCUUCCGUUCAGUACAAUUCGAAAACAUCAAAAACCUGAAAAUUAGGGAAAGUUUGGGAGCUGAGUCAAACCCGUUGGCGAGGAGGUCGUCGUAGAGCCUCAUGUGAGAAUUUGGCUCCGAUCUCUGGAGACGUCGGCCGUCGAAGGUUUGCCGGUGGUGCCAAUUAGCGUUUGGGGAUGAGAGAUAGAGAGGAAGGAUCAUUGGACGGCUGUGAUCAUCGGAGCCUGAAGCAAACAAGCCGCAGAGAUUGAAGACGAUGGAGGAGAUGAGAAGGACCAAAGUCUGACGAGCCAUGCCUGCCUGCUACGAUUGAAUCGCAGAGGACCAAAGUCCUCUGUGCUCGCACGAUUUGAAAGGCACCGCUCACAAAUGAAAAUAUCUUGGAAACUGAUUUUAUUUUAUUUUUUUCUUUUUCAAAAUGUUUUAAAUAGUUUUCGGGAUUUUGGGCAUGGAAUUGGCGGCCGAUUGAAUUAAAACCGUAAAAACUGAACUCCUUUUCUUUUUGGGUUGCGCAUAAACUAACUAAUUGGUCCGCGCCACGUCAGGUCAACGGUUGAUUAGGAAAGAGUGAGAAGAAAAUCCUAGGAAUGUAUGCCAUAUACGGGCUUCCAGCCAUUAUAAAAAAAAAUAUAUAUAUAUUUCUCAAUUACUAAGACAAAAAUAUUUUUCCCAUGUUAAUCCCUUUUUUUAAAGUUAAAUAUGUUAACUGCAUUUUACAUAAGCAAGAAUAGUUGUUAUUAAUGUUUGGUUUUCAAAUUUCCCUCCUACCUGUUUUUAACUUUUUAUUGAACUCUUUAUGAUUUUCAGAAUUUAGGGAUCCAAGCUGCCUUUUUUCGUUACAUAAAAAUUGUUAAUGAAAACUCCUCUCAAUGCUAAAAUCAAUGGCAUAAUGAUACACUUUAGUAGUAAACACGUAUAGCCUAGGUGAAGCAUCAUUGAAGGGGGAUUACGUGUAACAAUUCCUAUACAAUUCAACAAAUACCAAGUGAGCAUGGGAAGGGAAUUUGUUAUGUGCAAAAGAAUUGUAGAACAUUAUAUUAUAUGAGAUGAGUGAUUUUGCAACUGUCAGUCCUGAUCUCUUGGACCACAGGAGUCUAAGAGAUUGUGGUCACCCACCGUUGGAUAUUAAUCCAAUGGUUCAAAAUGAUAUAUAUAAAUGCAAUAUGACAUAAAUGAUUAUUACCCAAUUCAAGUCAUAAAUGAGUGAACCGUUGAAUUUACAUCCAACGGUGAGUGACCAUAAAUCUCUUGGACUACAGGGGUCCAAGAGAUCAGGACUGUUGCAACUGUUACAUACCUCCUAAAAUAGUAGUUGAAUCCUUACUUUCCAAAAUUCCUAGGCAAUAAGCGCCGCUAACAUUUGUAUGCUGAGAAGUAGGAGCACAUGAUGAGAAACAGGGGACAGAAAAUACAAUACAUCAAGAUGUGCACAUUUAAUAAAUACAAUGAUGGAAAAAGGAUCGUGGCCACACAUAACGCAUUUGCAAUGUGAUCGAGGGAGAAAAGUGAAAUGAGAGAACGUGAGAUAUAAGAGAUAAAAUGGGUUAUUAGGUAUAAAGAGAAAAAGCUCAAGAACAAUAAAUUAUCUAGUUCCCUGGAGACAAUGAUAACUUCUGUCUAUUACUGAAUACCAUAUCAACCGGUGGAAAGAAUUUGUGUAGCUGAGUGACAUCCCUAUAAAGCACAAUUCUAUGUUAAACUUUCAGACCUAAGCCAAUCAACAAAUCUGUUUAUACCGUAAAUAAACGGCCUAUGACCACCGAACACGUGGACAGGAUUGAUACUGAUCACAGAACCCCUUCAGCAUUCCCCCUACCGAAGCCAUCUAUCUUGGCCCUUUUGCUAUCAGACACGUGUCAUGCUCACAAUCCAUGUCCAGAGUCCCACAUCGGAAAUAUGAGCAUAGUGCACACCUCCCAAGGCCUAUAUAAGGAGACCCAUAUCCCCAAAAGGAAGGGAUCAGGACCAACGGUACGCUAUCGAUUGAUAUGUCAGUUAAACUUUACUAAAUCCGUACUUACUUAAGCAUCGGAGAGCCUUCGGCCGGUACCACACUGGUACCCGAGGAUUUACCGAAUGUGUCCUUUUGUAGGUACUUAUUCUUCUGAAGUAGAACACUUACCGAAGACAGUCACCUACCGAAGGAAUAAUUUAACUAAGUUGACGAAUUACGUGCUGAACCACUUUUUCGCAUCAACAGUUUGGCGCCGUCUGUGGGAAUUCGAAAAAUUAUCAACCCACUAUCUCCUAAACACAUGGGGACCACUUCAAUACCUACGUUCUUAACGGAGGAGGGAGGACUGUUCGGAAGGCAGAGCGGAGCUAGCCCAGCGCUACCUCCAAGCACUCCCUUCGGAAACGCUCCCGCUACCCAAACAACCGCCGAAGCCGAGCUGGCAGUCCAAAUCGCGUCCCUACGAAAGGACAUGGCAAGGCUUCAGGAGCACAACAACUUUCUUUCGUCCAAAGUGGACGAAACCCAGCAGCUGCUCCACCAGCAGCACACGCAGAACAUCCAGAUAACUCACUCUUCCGAAAGCCUGCAGACCCCUCAUAAGAGGAAGAAACGAGAUCAGGUAGCGACGGCAACGCCCGCUCCUUCCAAACAAUUGGUGGUCCCGGCACCCAGGGAUCAGCCACAUGUCCCAAAGAAGGUCUACACCGAUUGUCGACAUCGGAUCAAUGAUCGGGAGGCAGAGAGACAGAGGUCUCCGAUCAGGAUGAGCGCCCGACUAAGGGAUUCACGGAUGAAGGUCCUGGGGGACAAGUCGCCCAUUCGGAAAGUUAGGGGGAUGGGCCCCGAAGAGGAGUCGAAAUUCGAGUACAUCCCGUCCAGGAGGCAAACUUCCACCUACCGUUUGGCAACACAUUCGCGGAACUCGGAGGUUAAUCCACUGGACCUACAGAGGCGAACAGAAGACUUCGGUUCCGAGGAAAUCCCUAGCCGAGACCCCGCUGUCCGACUCCUUUUCCAAAGAAUCCAGAAAAUGGAGAACGACAACGCCCGCUCCCAAGGACCGGAGUGGGGAAAGCUUCGACCGGGGCCGUUUACCAGGCGCAUCCGGGACUCUCGGUAGGAUCGGGAAGGGCAACAGCUUCGGAUACCGUUCUAUACGGGAACGGAAGACCCCUUAACACACCUCCACUCAUUUCAGUCCGCCAUAGGAUGUAAGGGCUUGAGCGAUGAAGGGCAGUGCCUGCUAUUCCCGUCCUCCCUUACCGGGGCAGCCCUGAACUGGUUCUACCGGUUGGAGCCAGAAACGGUAGACUCCUUCGACGAACUGAAGCAGAUUUUCCUCAACCACUUCAUGAUCCAAACGGACCGUCUUUACUCUGUCGAUGAUCUGUACACGAUUCGGCAAGGAGAUGACGAACCGUUGAGAGAAUACGCGGCGCGCUUCAGUCACGAGUACUCAAGGUGUCCGGAAACAGACGACAGGGCAGCCUACGGCGCCUUUAAGAGUGGCCUUCGAUCCUCGCAUUUCCGAUACCUAGUACACAGCAGCAACUGGCGCACGUAUGACGAACUAAUGAAGCAAGCGGCAAUCCGUGCCAAGGCCGAAUACUUCAACUCGAAGCCCACGGCUUCGGCACCACGAGGAAACGCCGAACCAAGUGCUUAUCUGGCAAAGGCGACAUCCUACGGGAGAACCGACACAUACUCGGCAGGUCAUAAGAGAAAGGAUGACCGCGCCGAUCGAAGAGAACCCUCGAAGAAAGGGAAAGGGCGGUAUGAUCGCAACGACCAUCGAGCACCCCUGCCGAACCAUGACCAAGCCAAUGAAGUCUUCACCCUGUUGAACACUACCUACGAGGCCGUCCUGAUGAACGAACAGGGAAUAAUACCAAAGCCGAAUGCCCGAAGACCCAAUCGGCAAGACAACCGAGAUACCGGUAAAUUCUGUCGAUACCAUCAGCACAACAGCCAUAAUACAGAAGACUGUAUAAGCCUGAGAAAAAUUGUUGAGCGAUUGAUCAGGGAGGGGAAGCUGGAUCAGUACAUCGCCCGGCAGCCAACGGCGCCGGUGCCGAAUCCGGUUCGGCAGAUAAACAUGAUAAGCACUAUUAGCGGUGGCCCCACCAUCGCAGGAAUGAGCAACCGGUCAAUGAAGCAAUAUGUGCGGGCCGCACAGUUUCCUCAGGUAUUCGGCAUAGAGGUGAAUCGGCACCAGGAAAUCCCGAAAGUUCGUUGGGAGCCAAUCACAUUCUGCGAGGAGGAGGAAGAAGGCAUCCUCUAUCCCCAUGACGACCCAAUGAUCAUCCGAGCAGAAAUCGCAAACUACGACGUAGGGAGAGUGCUGAUCGAUACCGGGAGCUCGGUGAACGUGAUUUUUUCCAAAGCUUUCCGAGGGAUGGGAAUAAAGGACUGUCAGGUAAACCGGCAGUUGACACCUUUGUUGAGUUUCUCCGGAGAUUUGGUCCAACCGAUCGGUAGCGUGAAACUACCCAUCACCUUCGGCACCGCGCCAAGGAAAACGACGGUAUACGAUCAAUUCCUCAUCGUUGAUUGCCCGACGGCGUACAACGUCAUAGUUGGACGAACGGCACUCACCAUUGUCAAAGCGCAUCUUUCCCCCCACAUGCUACUGAUGAAGUUCCCACCCCUACGGCACGGGGGCUGUCUCCAGGAAAUCAGCUAAGCGCUCGGACUUGCUACGCCACGGCACUCAAGUCAACCACUGUCCAAGUACCCGACGAGACCAUGUCUGUGCAGGGGAUACCGAACGAUACGAGACCCGUUGACGACCCUAGGGAUGAGUCCCCGACUCCACACACACAACCUGCCGAAGAACUGGAAACGAUAACCCUGAACGACGAGCAGCCCGAUCGUCGGGUUAAGAUCGGCACCAGACUCACCCCUAACCUCCGAGCGCAGUUCAUAGACUUCUUACGGCUUCAUUCGGAAGUAUUUGCGUGGUCUUACGAGGAUAUGCCCGGCAUAGAUCCUGAGAUCAUCAGCCACAAACUCAGCAUCUCCCCCGCAUAUAAGCCUGUAAGACAGAAGCGCCGUUCGUAUGAUGCCGAACGAUACGAAGCGAUGCGCACAGAGGUUAACAAACUUCAAACCAUCGGCUUCAUCAGGGAGACUACAUAUCCGGUAUGGCUGGCAAACUCAGUGAUGGUCCGGAAGGGUACAGGCGGGUGGCGAAUGUGCCAAGACUAUACCGAUCUGAAUAAGGCCUGCCCGAAGGACAGCUUCCCGUUGCCACGGAUAGACCAGCUCGUGGACGCCACCGCAGGACACGAACUGCUGAGCUUCAUGGACGCCUAUUCGGGAUACAAUCAGAUAUUCAUGCACCCCCCCGACAGCGAACACACCGCCUUCAUAACGGACAGGGGUUUGUACUGUUACAACGUCAUGCCGUUCGGCCUGAAGAACGCGGGGGCAACAUAUCAAAGGCUCGUCAACAGAAUCUUCGCCAAUUACAUCGGCAACAUCAUGGAGGUUUACGUUGACGACAUGCUAGUAAAGAGCAAAACCGCCGAGGAACAUCUGCAGAAUCUGUCAGUCAUGUUCGGCGUACUGAAGGAUUAUCGGAUGAGGCUGAACCCAACAAAGUGCGCCUUCGGUGUAUCUUCCGGAAAAUUCCUCGGAUUCAUGAUCAGUGAGAGAGGUAUCGAAGCGAACCCCGAAAAAAUAAAAGCAAUCAUCGAUAUGGAGAAGCCGAAAACGGCGAAGGACAUUCAAAGCCUUACCGGACGCGUGGCAGCCUUGACUCGUUUCAUAUCCAAGGCCACCGACAAGUGUGUUCCGUUCUUUAAAGCCUUGAAAGGGGGCAAACGGGAUAUCAUCUGGACUGCCGAAUGUGAUAAAGCGUUUCAAGACUUAAAGGACUACAUGGGCAGAGCACCCCUCCUGUCAAAACCACCACCUGGGGAGAUUCUCUAUCUAUACCUUUCGGUAUCUGGCACUGCUGUCAGUUCGGUAUUGGUCCGAAAGCCAGAGAGGGCAGAGCUACCAAUUUUCUUGCCAGCAAGGCACUCCAAAGUGCUGAACUUCGGUAUCCCCCAUUGGAGCAGCUUGCACUAGCCCUGGUAGUCUCAGCACGAAGACUUCGGCCAUAUUUCCAAGCACACGGGAUCAAAGUUCUGACCAACCAACCGCUUCGGCAGGUACUCCAAAAACCAGAGACUUCUGACCGAUUGAUCAAGUGGGCGAUCGAACUCGGAGAGUUCGAUAUACAAUUCGUGCUAAGACCCGCCGAAAAGGGUCAAGCCGUUGCCGAUUUUAUCUCCGAGCUCACCCCAUCAACGGCACAGCCGACAGUCGAGCCGGUUACCGAAACCGGAACGCCAAUGGAAGUAGACGUCGAACGGCUCGACACCUCAAAUCCCGUAUGGGUUCUGCACGUCGACGGCUCGGCAAACCAACAAGGAUGCGGAGCAGGCCUGGUACUGACAACACCAGAGGGACUCAAGAUCGAGUACGCCCUUCGAUUCAACUUUCGAACCUCCAACAAUGAAGCAGAAUAUGAGGCUCUCUUGGCCGGCCUUCGGUUAGCCAAGAGCAUGAACGCAAAACAAAUCAGGAUUCACAGCGACUCCCAGCUCAUUGUGAACCAGGUAACGGCAGACUUCGUGGCCAGAGACGCCUCCAUGAACGCCUACCUUUCAUCCACCCACUAGCUGCUCCAAAACUUCCGAGCCUACGAGAUCAGGCAGAUCCCCAGAAGCGAAAACAGCCAUGCCGAUGCAUUGGCACGGCUAGCUUCGGUAAUAAACGAUAAAAUCAGAAGAAAGGUACCGGUGGAAAUUCUUGCCCGACCAAGCACGGUAGCCUCCGAAACAUUUACUAUACGGUACGAGGAUACAUGGAUGUCUCCUAUCUACUCGUACCUGACCAACGGCACCCUUCCAGAAGACAAAGCCCAGGCCCGAAAGCUUAGGUACCGAUCGGCAAGGUACACCGUCAUCAACGACGUCCUUUACAAACGUGGCUACACAACUCCAUAUCUCAAAUGCCUUACGGCAGAACAGGGGGACUACGUCCUUCGGGAGAUCCAUAAUGGUGUGUGCGGCGACCAUUCCGGAUCCCGGUCACUCGCCCACAAAACCUUUCGGCAGUGGUACUUUUGGCCGACCAUGCACCAGGACGCUAUCUCGCUGGUAAAAAAGUGUGAUAAAUGCCAGCGUUUCGGCAGCAUACCGCACACCCCUGCCGAACCUCUGACACCGAUUGUGAGUCCUUGGCCCUUCGCACAAUGGGGACUGGACCUGAUCGGUCCAAUGCCGCAGGGCAAAGGCCAGGUGAAAUACGCGGUGGUUGCCGUUGACUACUUCACCAAAUGGGUAGAGGCCGAGCCUCUGGCAACCAUAACGGCAGCAAGAGUGGAAGACUUUGUUUGGACUCAUAUUUGUUGCCGGUUCGGCAUCCCGUAUGCAAUCAUUACCGACAACGGCAGGCAGUUCGAUUCGGAACUCUUCAGGCAAUUUUGCACUCGCCUGAAGAUCAACUUGUUUUUCGCGUCACCGGCACAUCCCCAGUCGAACGGUCAGGUGGAGGCAAUAAACAAAAUCAUCAAGAAGCUACUGAAAUGGUAGCUGGACAAAGCCAAAGGAGCCUGGCCAGAAAAGCUUCCCGAAGCACUCUGGGCCAUUCAGACAUCCUACCGAACAUCCACUGGAGAGACCCCUUUUUCCUUGGCUUUCGGUUCGGAGGCCGUGGUGCCCGUGGAAAUUGGCGAACCUUCGUACCGAACGGAAACUUUCGCACCGAAGCCGAACGAAGAAGCACUCUCUCUAAGCCUCGACCUUCUUGAAGAGCACCGGGCACAUGCCAACCUUCGGAAUGAAGCCUACAAGCAACGUGUCUCUCGGUAUUACGGCUUAUUCUGAAUCGGAGACUAGGUCAUGCGGGAGGUAUCCCUAGCAACUAAGGAUGCCACGGAAGGAACCCUUGGACCUUCCUGGGAAGGACCCUAUGAGAUCAUCGGUAUCCUUCGAUCGGGAAUUUACCGCCUCAGAGACUCCAACGGCAAGACCCUCGGUCAUCCUUGGAACGUAGAACAUCUCAAGUACUAUUUCAAGUAACCUAGCCUACGGUAGGACAAAAUUGUAAAUGCCUUUCGGCAGAGAUUAAUAGAAAGCCUUCGGCACUAUUACUUCAGACCCUCUUGUUAAAAUUACUCUACUUGCCUACGGCUGCCAAUAAGGUCAGAUAACGUCCUACGACAUCUUUAUUAGCCUACGGCUAUAAAUAUUUUCGAAAUUAUUACCCUACAGAUCCUAUCGGAACUUGUCAAUUUCGAAGUGACCUUUAAACGUUAUAAAUCCUAUACGAUACGAUCGGCAACUUAAAAACAGGUUCAGAUCGAAUAAACAGGAGAGAAAAAUAUGCAUUUAAAUUAAAGAUGCCCUCGGCAUCAAUAUGUUCGGAACAUACAAAUAAAAAAAAACUAAAUUAUUACAAGUUACAAAGACAAGACCAUCAGGCUUCAUCACCGGCGGCAGCCUCGGCAGAUCCGGAGCCCUCGGCGGCAUCCUCCCACUCGUAAUCUUGGAUCAUCUCCUCUGUUAUCCCUUCCGGUAGAGGAGGAGGAUCGGCGAUGAAGUUCAGGUUCAGCUUCUGCCCAGGGUUGUACCGCUUGAAUCGAUACAACAGGUCCGCCAUCUCCGAGCCCACUUCCUUAUCCAGAAGGAUAGAGAACUCGGACGACGAACAGUACCCCUGGAUAGCUGACUGAACCGCAGCCUCGAUCUCCGCAGCCUUGGCCCGUUCCGAUUCCUCCAAGGCCACCUGUGCCGCUGUCUUCGCCCGCUCCGACUCUUCCAAAGCCGCCUGCACCGCGUCCUUGGAAGCUUCGGCAUCCUUCGUCGCCUCCAGCGCCGCCUCCAGGAGCCCCCUCAUCUCCUCCACCUGCCGUUCGGCAGAUGCUUUCUCCUUGACCAUGUGGGCGUGCUCCUGGAGCGCUUUGCCAGCCUCGGCAACCUUGGACCUGCCGUCCUCGUACGUCUUCUUGGCACGCUCGGCAGCAGCGAUGACCCUCUUGACGCAGAGCCACAUGUCCAUGGAUGCCUGCACAAAACAGAAGGUCAGAAGCAUAUACCCCACAAACAAAAUAUAUACAAGGACGAAGGAAGAAAGACACUCUUACCGAUGCCUGGAGCCGGAAGGCGCGUCCCGCCUCCUCCCGAAGAAACUUCUUCGGUAGUUCGUCGAUCUCCGGCAGCUCCAUCUGAGAGCCGAGGAUCAUGUGGUUGACGAACUGGACGGUUUUCACCGGGCAGGCGAUGGUGACAGCCUCGGAAGGACCAUCCUCGUCCUCCACCGAAAGGACGGCCCUGGGAGCCUCCGGUAGGCGAGGGCGCUUGGGGACCGGCUCGACCUCCAGAUCGACCGUCUCCGGUCGCUUGUCGACAGCCUUGGAGGUGGCGGCCUCGGCGUCCCGAUGCCUCGGCGCAGUGGCUUCAUCGGAAGUGCGCCUCGGAACAGCCUCAGCAUCGAGCUGCCGAAGGCGAUCCGCGAGGGUCUGGUCCUCCGGAUCCGGCACCGGCUGCCGAACGGAAGCUGCCUCGGGCUACUUCUUCUUCUUGCCCUCGAGGCCCAUCAUCAGGCGCCUCCUGGAGGACUCGUUCAUUUUCUUGGCCUCGGCAGCCCUCCUUGCGUCCGUCACUGAUCAGGAAAAAGUUUGGUCAGUCGACAAGCACAGGCCAUACAGGAAAGUAAAAAGAGGGUAUACUUACUCUCGGCAGGGUUAACAAGGCCGGCUCUGAUGAGGUUGCCGGUGAAGAGGAAGCGUGGAUAAACUCGCUCGGCAGCAGUUACUCUCAGCCUCACUCUGUCGAGCUACCGGAUCUCAUUGGGCUUGGGGUCGGCUGCUUGAGUUUGCCUGUCAAACAAAAAAAAAAUUAAUGAAAUACACCAAGGGAUAAAAUAAGCCAGACUACCGAUCGGUAGAUCGAAAACCUACCGGCAAUCUGGAAUGUCGUGGGGACCCGGAAGCUAGGGGGUGUUCCCGAUGGCGAUUCCCAAUCGCCGGAGAGCAACACCCGCCGGUUCCUCCAUGACUUCUGGGAAGUCGGCACCGAGCUGAUGAAAUGCCCCCGCUCGGAAGCCUUCAGGCAGUUUGCCUGAACCCAGCCACCAUGAUCGGCGCUCUUGGACUUGGUGACGCUGUACAGGUAGGAGAACUGCUCGUAGGAAGGCUCGCCCUCCUCGGCAAUCCCGAAUGCAGCGAUCACCCCCAUCAAGGCCACCCAGAAGUUAGGGUUGUACUGGCCCGGAGCGUACCCGAUCUGCGCAAGGAUCCUCUGCAGGGCAGGUUGCAACGGCAACCGAACCCCUUGCACAAGGACGUCGGUGAAGAAGGUCACCUCGCCGUUCGCUGGGUCGCUGAGGGACUCAAUUGGGCUCGGAAUCCUCAUCCUUACCGAAUCAGGGAUGGGGUAUUCGGCCCUAAUCUUCUCCAACUCCCGUUCGGUGAUCUUGUUGGGCUCCAGGUAGUCGACCCCGAACAGAGUCUUCCUAGGCACACCCACAGGUAUAGUAGGCGGUCCUCGGUGGACGAUCGUCACCCUCGGCCGGGAGGGACCGGCAACGCCCUCACUGCGAUCGGAGGUGGAGGCCUCAGGCUGAUGCCCCAACGGCCCGACGCGGGUACCGUCUCUAUACACUGCGACCAAGGGUUGCGGUUGCCCCGUCAUGAGCCCUUUUCCGAUGCCGUGGGUGAGAACGGAGUUCACCUCCUCACCGAAUAACUCGGUAUCGGUGUUUUCUCCACCCUCGGCGCCGAGGCUCACGGCCUCGCUGGACGUAUCCCAGCCCGAGGACAACUCCCCGUCGAAAGCGUUGGGCUCACUACUUAACAGCGACUCGCUAUCGGACAUCUACAAAACAGAGAAGGGGAAACUAAGGCCCAUGCCGCACUAUCCUACCGAUACCUACAUCGCUACCUAUGGCCACUAGACUACCGAAGGAAAAUCCUAUUUUACGAUCGGCUAGCCUACGCCAUAAGGAGACAUGCAACCAAAUAAAAAGAGAGUAUUUUAGGGAGUACCGAACGGUAUCUUACCUUCGAUGGUAUAGAGCGAUUCGAUUGCCGUUCACUAUCUUCGGAAGUCGCCUUGAAUGCCGAAAACCGCUGAGAAAAUCGCCUUGAUUACCGUUUGAUCUCUUCAGAAAUCGCCCGCGCAGAGCUCUCACUUCAAACUCACAAUUGCAAAGUGAGCUUUUCAUCCAGAUCGGCUCCUAUUUAUAGAGGGAGAGCUGUAACGGUAUGCCUCAGAAUACUAAACGGCUCUUCAAUGCGCCGUCAGGCGUGCUUUUACUGGCCACGCGUCACCUGACGAAUGGUGCCGCAGACUGCACGCCAGGCACGGAAGACGAAGCGCCAUAUUGCCCCUAAACCCUCUCAGCUUCAACGACCCUUCCGUGUCCCAGGCCAAUCUCCCCGGGACGAACCUACCGAACAGCAGGUUAUCCUCCGAACCACCAUGGAGAACUAAAUUCCCUCCCGAAGGACCUUCGGAAGGGAACUUGGGGGACUACUGUUUAUACCGUAAAUAAACGGCCUAUGACCACCGAACACGUGGACAGGAUUGAUACUGAUCACAGAACCCCUUCAGCAUUCCCCCUACCGAAGCCAUCUAUCUUGGCCCUUUUGCUAUCAGACACGUGUCAUGCUCACAAUCCAUGUCCAGAGUCCCACAUCGGAAAUAUGAGCAUAGUGCACACCUCCCAAGGCCUAUAUAAGGAGACCCAUAUCCCCAAAAGGAAGGGAUCAGGACCAACGGUACGCUAUCGAUUGAUCUGUCAGUUAAACUUUACUAAAUCCGUACUUACUUAAGCAUCGGAGAGCCUUCGGCCGGUACCACACCGGUACCCGAGGAUUUACCGAACGUGUCCUUUUGUAGGUACUUAUUCUUCUGAAGUAGAACACUUACCGAAGACAGUCACCUACCGAAGGAAUAAUUUAACUAAGUUGACGAAUUACGUGCUGAAUCAAAUGCCGUAAAACUCAAGUUGUGCAAGUUUUCUACAGCAAUUACCUUCCAACACCUGCAAAACAAUGAUAUUUUGGGUCAGGACCUGGGAUUUGUUUGACGAAAUGCAUCUCCCUCAUAAUCUGCACAUUACCCAAAAGAAAAGUUACCAUCAUUUGAUGAUUCAAUGGAGUACAUGUUAGAUAUUAAGACAUGUGAUUAAAUGUAAUUGCUGAUCUGGCAUUUUAGUUAGGAGUUGUUAUCUUAUCUUAGGUGUCAGUCUGUUAGCAUCUGUUAGCAGAUUAGUUAACUGAUUAGCUUAGUCAUUAAGUAACCUCAUCGCCUAUAUAAGCUGUAAACACAAUGUAUAUUUGAUUAGUGAAAAAUAAAAUUGAGAAUUCAGAGCAUUUUCUCUAGUCUUUUCUUUCUAGAAUCUUCAUCAAUCCUCCAUUGUAAUCAGUAUACACUAGCAAUAUAUAUGAUGGUAUCAAAAUAAGCUAGAAUUCAGAUGCAUAAAAGUUUAAAACACAGAGAUGAAACUUAAAAUUUGAAGUCUUACAGAAUCCUUAAGCGCAAGAAAAGCAUCCUUGGGAAGGUAUGCAUAUGUAGUUCCACUAUCCAAGACUGUUCCAUCACCUCCAUCAAACACCUUCGGGUUUAAUUUUAAAGGAUCCGCAGCAACAUAGAUUUCCUUCAGUUCAAUGUUGUAAUAUGGACUGUUGCAAAAGCAAAACCAAAGCAUAUAUGUGAGAUACACAAAAUACAUUAACUAGAAGCUAAUGUUUAUUAUAAACGUAUGUACCUGCGACAAGGAUCUGAAUGCAGAAAUACCAUAUCAUGGGAGAUUUCAUCCCUCCAAGAACCAUGGCACCCCCGCCUACACCCAUCCCUCCAUAGCAUAAUGAGAAUGAAUCACUAAUAACACCCUUGUCAACAAGCUGAUUUAUCACACUAACAGGAUCCCGACCCAAACCCAAUAUGCCAUCUGCAUGCUGGCUGUAAAGAUAACCGGUUUCAACAUUUUCACAACCAAAAACAGCACGCCCUGGCACAAGUUCAGUUUCAUUGCCAAAAGACAUGACGUCCUCAGCAAGCACGAAAAUGCUAGAGCUUCCCUCAUCAUAUUGACUUUUAUAAGUGCAUUUAGAUUUGGCAUUGCACUUUACAAGUUGGUACGUGCUAGAUGAAUUAGGCUGGAACCUAGGGUCCUGCAUAACAACAAUAAUUUAGCUUUGGAGACAAAUGAGCUAAUACUAAAAAUAUCAAAAUAUCAAAAUAUAGGGAGAAUUUUCAACUACAAGGUAAAGAAUUAGAACUUUCACACAUGUUGAAUAAACCCUGCAACACUCAAUGCAGACUUAUAAUUGAUCGAUAAAAGAAGUAGCAAAUCACGAUUUUUCGGCUCCUACCAAAGAAAUCAAAAACCCGUUUGGUUUUUUAUUAUUUUUUAUUAUUGGGGGCUUACAUUCUACAUUAAUCGCAUGUUUACUUAUGAAGAACGGAAGAGGUAACACAUAAGAAAUCAAGGGGAGUAGUAGAUCCAAUUUUAAUUCCUUAAUUCCCAUAUCUAAAUUCCCGAUUCAUAGCUUACUCCAUUCAUGAUAAGUAAUCAUGCCAUAAUUGUUGAGAUUCUAUCACUAGCCACCUCACCCCCAAAAUCCUGAAUGGCACUCAACCAAUUCCUCAAUGCAAUUGUAGGAAUUAGCAAGCUACUAGUUGCAAAUACUAGAUGGAUAGCAAAUUGGGGAAAGUAGAGAUGAACGAUAAACAAGUAAAAUCUAAUUGUACGAACUUUAUGACUGAACGGAAAAGAUGGAAUCCGAACCUGAUGCGAACCGCACCGUUGACAGUCAGAGCAAGGCACAUAAGUCACCGAGCUUCCCGUAUCCACAAUCAGAGCGAAUUUCUGAGGCGGCGUCCCAAUCCACACCCGCGUCGAAUAGUACCUGUUUUUAAUCAGAAAUAUCAGAAUUUUGAGAAGUUAUGUACGGAAAAUUAAGUUCACAGGAGAAGAGAGUAAAUUUGAAACCCAUUGGCGAGGUCAUCGUAGAGCCUCAUGUGAGCGUUUGGCUCCGAUCUCUGGAGACGUCGGCCGUCGAAGGCUCGCCGGUGGUGCGAUACAAUCCGACGGCGUAGAUGAGAAGGAGCGAGGUCUGGGCCAUGGCUGCCGACUAUGACUGAAUGACUGAACUGAAGCACACUGCUUUGCUUCAAGAUCAGAAAACAAAGAAAUUUCUCGAAACUGAAUUUUUUACCUUUUCAUUUUUGUUUUCUUCUUUGAAAUGUUUAUACACCUUUAAAGAGCUUCCGGCCUUUCUGGCAUGGAACUGGCGGCAAAUUUGAUUGAACGGCCAAAACUAAUUAACUGGAAAGCGCCACGUCAGGUCAAGGCUUGAUUAAGAAAGAGCAAGACGAAAAUAAUCCAAAGAAUCUUCUACUAAUACGAACCUUUGUCGAUUAUCAAAAGACAACAAUCUCCUCUAAUGUACUUCGGUUCCAAUUCAGCCUCUCUUAAUCCAAUUUAUAUAUAAUCCAGUUAUAAUUCAUCGGCAAAUUCCAAUAAAUUAAGUAUGAAAUUUAAGUUUAGCCCCAUAUGAGUCGGAAAUGGCCUUAAAACACUACAUCACCACGUGGCACAUCUGCAGUAUUCGAUAAUUUCUCCCUUUUGUUUUGUGGGCACAAGAAUUGUCUUCAUUUUACGGCCCUUACGUAAAGUUGAAUUGUUGAUCCAACCAUAAUAAGUGAAAGAAAAAAAAAAUCAUUCACAAAUGAACUUCCUAUAUCAACUUAACAAUGAAAUAAACUUUAAAGGAUAACAUGCUAUUAUUUAUAAUUUGAGAGUGAAAAUUUCCAGCAUGUCAAACACAAUAGCAUCCGAAACUGAACCUUUAUAUCCGUAAGAACAACUAACAAGAAGAGAAACAAUCCCCUGAGUUGUACACAAGAUUAGAUGAAUUCAGAAACAAUUUCUAAUAUAACACUGAGUACAACAAUGGGGGAUCUCAAUAUACAAAACCUAUACCCAAAAACCAAAACAGUGGGAAUUAAGAUCACAGAACUCUACAGUUUAGAAACACAGAUUGUAUCAUCCCUUUCUGAUCCCUUUGAAGGAUUUUGAUAUUACAAACCUAAAGUUAGCUCCUAUCCAGCUGGUCCAAUGAACGAAUCCUUGCAUCCCUACAAGAGUGACAUUGAAAAGUAGGGAGAAAAAGCACUGCAAGAUACCGACACAACACAACAGGACAGUGAGGAAAUCACUCAAUCGAAAGUUCAAAUGGGACAGAACAACAGAAACAACAAAAUGCCAGGCACCCUAGAGUUGCAUUUUUAUUUCUUGUUAAUAAAAAUACCUUGUAUUUGUCCAUCUCUACAUAUGUUGCAAGCUCCUAUCGCGCCAAGCAAGUACCUUUUGUCCAUAAUAAUUGCCGCGCAUCACGUGGGAGUUUAAUUGAACCAGAUUUAAUAGAGCAUCGUGGUAGACACCCUGUUCUUGCACAUAAAUUAGAAAUUAAAUCAAAUAAUUAGAGCUUAAUCAAAAUCAUCUAGGUUUAAGAGAACUGGACAUAUCAAAAGAUGAUAAGUUGACAGGAUAAUCAAAUGAAGUAAUUUGAACAAUAUGGGCAAGUGAAAAUAUCUAAACGCAGGCCCCGCCUUUCUGACACAAUAUAUGUCACAAAUUUGUAAGGAUAACAAGAACUUCUGUGUAUCUAAACAGUUUGUUAAUUGAUAUGCAGUUUCAGAUGAUCUAACCUUUGAAACCGACAGUGCUGUCUGGAUGACAUAGUUUCCAAAAGGAUGCAAAAGAAGCAUUGAAAUGUUCCGAUUUGUAAGCAACUCAAAAAUAAUUUGUGAAGACUGUUCUUCCCCUGAAUCUAACAAGCACUUCUCCACAACAUUGCUGCCAUACUUAUUGCAAGAGAGAGACAUAUAACUGCCUCGAAGUUGUCUCAGAAGAUUUUCUGUUAUUUGUGGCAUCCUCAACCCCAGUAAAUGUUGCAGCACGUAGUUUCUAGGGUAUAGGAACAAUAAAAGAGAACAUAAGUAAACAUCAUGAUUGAUAUUUUUUAAAACUAUGGAUAAUGUUUCAUAGGAACAAACCCAUAACGAUCUACUGCUAGAACUAUUGCUUUUGCUGUUAUCGCAGCAACCAGACGCUCUCUGUUUUUUCCAUUAGAGUGUUCAACACACUUCUGUAGCACACAACAGCCGCUUUUAUCUUUUGCGAUUCCACAACAGUUAUUUGCCACCACAUGCAGAAGAUGCUGCCAACAAAAUUUUUGCCAGAAAGUCAAGAUACUACACCUUUGCCUUGUACUUAAGGAAAGUGGAUUCAUGGACUAGUUACAAAGGGCUUCUGAAACGUUGGUGUAAGCAACCUAGAAAGAUUGGUGCUUGUUGACUACCAAAUAUUUUAUCACCAAGUGCGUUGAUCUCUUUAUUAUGCAUGUCAACUUACAUUUGAUGGUUAGCUUAUGCGGAUACUUUAAAAUAAAAAGUUUGGGAAGAGGAUAGAAAUGUCAAAAUAUUAUGUGGAACAAAAUAUGUUUUGUUAGAAGUUAGGUGAACACCGUUGAUAAGAGAAGUAAAUAUGAAAAAGAAGGAUGCGUAUUAAGAAUAAGGAUAAUCUAAAUAACCUUCAAUUACAAGAAUCCAUCAUGUGAUCCUUGGAUAUAAAACUCAUGCGCUUCACUGAAAUUUUAGAAAUAAUAAGCCUAAAAUUUUGGUUGUUUUAUUAGGGUGCCAGGCUUCAAUCUAGUCCCAUCUGCAGUUAAAAGUAAAUUCCCAACGAACGUACCACACCCUUUGUUUGAAUGAAACAUGACUAAUAAUAGCCAAUUACAUAUUAAACUUUCAAAUUGUGUUAUCAAUAGUUUACCUUUAUAACGACUACAAAGACAAGAUAUUCUAACCAACAGGACAUGAUGGUAUAGCUGAUAAAUUUCAGGUGCAUGGAUGAUAUGUUUCCUGCUUUCAAGGGUUAAUCGGCUAAUGUUCCAGCUUUUCGCAAGCUGUGGAUUGGCUUCGAAUCAUAAUUUUAAUGAUCAAAAGCAAUUACUGAAGGGGGAUUCUUGCAAGAUGUAACUCAUCAUGAAAAUGACAUGAGCAGAACUAGCAAAACAUCAACUCCAAAUGCAACAUGAACAAAAUAUUCGGAUAAUUGCAAAUCGCCUAAACAGGAGAGAACAUACCUCAUUGUCUUGGACAGAGAAAUGCUCUAAGCAAUGCUCGAUCACAUGUUGACCAUUGCUGUUCUUACUCAAGGCAACAACACCAGGACUCAGAGCUCUCAUAAUCAGAGUGAUUUGCUCUUUGGUGGUAACAUACUUCAACAAUUUCUGUACAGAUCGAGUCCUGUCACACGAAAUAUAAGAAAACCAUUAUACUAAUAAAAACAAAAAUAAAAAAAUUACCAAAACAACUAUUUGGUCAGCAAUCUUACAACAAUUAUUAACACAUGCAAACAACAACUAGGCACCAACCAUACCCGCGCGUGUCAAGGGAAAUACAAAUAAGCUGCAAAUCAUUUUUCUUGGUCAACAUUAAAAGCAUUUGGGUCCUCUGCUCUUCACUGCAGACCUCCACAAGCUUCUGAACAACGUAAUUCCCAUGAGGGUCAAGCAUCAAAGUGGCCACAUGUUCUAGAACCUCCAAGAAUAUCAAAUCAAUCAAUUCUUUGUUUGGUACAGCCUCCAUUGCUCUUUGUAAGCAACGACAACCGUCUUGGUCCGUGGCCAGAAAGGCUACCCUCCCACGCAAAUCAGCCAGAGACCAGCCAUUCAGAGACGCUUGCAACCAAUGUGGGCUAUUAUCAGAAUGUUGAUUUAAAUUGGACACAAAGCCAUUCGAGCAAUCAAUAUCAGACUGAACCCAGCAAUUUUGAAGACCCAAAUGCGAAAGAACCCCAUUACCGCCACUAUUUAAGUUCAGACUCUGCAGCUCGUCGUUGCAAAAUGGGAUAAAAUUUUCCCCACCCAACCCAUGAUCGUUUGUUGGGUAUUUUAUCACAGACCCAUUACUGCAAUCGCCGUCAAAGCGAGAAAGCUGCGGCUGGCGGCAAAAAGAUGAGAUUUUGAGGCGAGAAAAAGCAGCUUCUAGGGUUUGAUCAAAAUGGGAUUCUCCAAUGGGGUUCUGCGAUGAACUUCCGGACACACAUUCUGGCAACGGAGAUUGUGGAAUACGAAGCGACGCCGUGUCCAGAAAACACCGAAACCCCUCCAUUCUCCGUCUUAACAGCGAAGAUAAACAACUCCAGAAAGUUUACAAAAUUUUUUGAGAGUUGAGGUUCUAUAUUGAGGAGAGAAAGGGGUGGAGGAGCUAGAGUUAUAUAUUGAUGAGGGGAGAUAUUUUUGAGUUUUGGUAGUAAAUUUGGGGGAUUUUGAAGAGGAAAAUGUUAGGAAGAGUUUGAAAGUGGUUGGGAAAUUGCUUGACUGACUUUAGCGUAGGUGAUUGGGUUGUAGACUGAUACUAAAACUGGGACUGGGAGAGUUUUAUUCGGCCUCUGAGUUUGCAUGCAAUUUAUGGAAACUUUUCAUGCGAGAAAGCGUGAAGAAAGUUGCAUAUCUGUGUACGCGGCGUAUGUCUGUCACCUAAAAUAAUGGGCUCUCUCUCUCAUUGACCAGUAGCCUUGUUGCAUUUCAUGGUCUUGGUCUCUUUUUUGGUUGUGGGCUUUCAUUUCUUCUGUGUUUUUAUUAUUUGUCUAGUUUAAAAAUAAAUAUAAAAAACCCCAAAGCUUCUCAGGUACUUUUGUGAGUGAAUUUCCAAUUAAAAAGUUAUGUGUGUGACUUGUGAAUGAUUGAUGCAAACAAGUUAGAUGAUUUGAAUAUGACUUAUGGUAGGGAGACUAUAGACCAUUUCUAUCUUUCUAAUAGAGUUGGAAUUCACUAAUAAUAAUAUAGUGGAGCCAAUCAAUAUAGUUGGAAUUCAUUAAUUUUAAGAGUCAUGCUAGAGAGACAAUCUUUAGAAAUCAACUUUGUGUACUAUUUCUCUAAUAGAGAUGGAGCCCACCAAUACAAUGGGUUCCACCUUUAUAGGGAGAUGGUAUACAAGUUGGUCUCUAAAGAUGGUCUCCUUAACAUUUUCCUAGUUUUAAGGUGUUUCUAAUUCCAAUUGGCACUGUGAAAGUUGUUUUGAUUCAACUUACUCGUUAAGCCAACAUUAAGUCACUUAAGGUCAUUUUGAUAACCAUUUCAUUUUUCAUUUUUCAUUUUUUUAAACUGAAAACUUGUGUGGUAUCUAAUUUCAGUUUUCCAAAAAAGUUAAAAGUUAAAAUUGAACACAGGUUGUUUGGUAACUUAUUUCAGUUUUUAGUUUUAUGUGGAAUUUGAAAAUAAUAUAUAUUUUUUUGGGUCCAAUUAUGGAUUUGAGAUCAUAUAAUGAAAGGGCAUGCUACAAAGUGUUCAUAGUAUUUUUAGUGAAUUUUUUGGACUUAUGAUUAUUUUUUGUGAAUUUUGGAUACGAAGCUCCCGAGGCUUGGAAUGGGUUCAUGGCCGAACGUAAGAAAUCGAUAGGCCGGGUCCAAGUCCGAAGGUCCCAAACACCGAGUUUGGGUAACUACAGUGCAUUUCCUUAAUGGGAAUCAAUAUGAGGAGUUGAAUUCCGAUUACGAACUACUCACGUGUUUACUUCACAUAAAGGAAUGAAAAAGCAAGUGAGCCCCACACAAAAUUAGGAAUUCAACUCAUGAUUUUGGAGGAAUUGGACUCUUUGCUGGAUAACUAGCCCAUCAAGAAUCCAUCUUUUUUAUCCAUUAUAUCCUCACAAUUUUUAAAUUUUCAAAUUUAUCAUCCAAUUUAACCUAAUAAUUAUUUAGAAUAAGUGCAUUUUAGUAAUCAAACUAGUUUCAAUUAUGAUUCACGAUAAUUUAGUAAACAACUUUAAUGGGAAAAUUGAUUCCAACUCCCGCUUAAUGCAAUUCCUCUUAACUCGAUUACGGAUUAGUAAACAUGCCAUUUGUGAAUGAAAAAGGAGCGCACAAAAUAUUAAAACAAAACAAAACAGAAAACACUUUCAAGUUGUGUUCUAGCAUUACUCUAUGGCCCCGUUUGGUUCACGCAACGGAUUUGAGGGGAAAUCACUUCCCAAUGAAAGAUAAAUAGAGAUUCAUUUCCCAUGUUUGGUAAUCCUGGGAAAAUAACCAAGAAAUACUACUUUAUUUCUUUUCACAUGUUUGGUUUGUGUAGGAAUGCAAAACAAAGUUUGUUUAAUUUUCCAAUUAUACCCAUAUGAAAUCAAAUAAAAAAAGAAUGCAUUUAAUGCUAUAUUGUAAUUCUAAAUUGUUAAUGAGGACAAUAUGAUCAUAAAAAAAUGUGUAUUUAAUGUUGGUUCAUUUUUCCAAACUUUCUUAUGAUGAGAAGAACAAAACUCAAGGGGGGAGGAGGGCUUCACUUUCCCCUUAUUUUCCCAUGUGUAAGGCAACGUUUUCCCAUGUCUGGACUUACCAAAUAUGGAAAAACAAUUGAUUUUUUAUCUCAAAGCCUCAUUUUCCAUGAACCAAACAGGCCUAUAUGAUUAGGAAAUAUUUACAGCAUUACUCUAUCUGAUUAGGUUCCAUACUAACAUGUUUAGUAUUUCAAUACAAAAAGGCGGUGUGCAUGUCACACAGAUUUGGCCUGCUGGCAGAGACUUCCCGCUUCACCAUCAAAUCCGAACUCCCUCUCCCUCUCCUUUAUUUAUUCAUCUCUCUCUCUCUCUCUGCUGGGCGGCCUACAAGGUCUAUGGCCUGGUCAUAUUUGAGAGAGAGUUGCAGAGAGAUUAGAUUUGAGAAUUGCAUCUUACUCUUGUUAGCCUUCAUUUCCUUUAAUGAAAUAUCACAUUUCACUAGCGGAAAGAAACGAUUAAGAAAAAAAAUUUUCAACUUUUCCUUUGGGUGCUAAAUUAUACUAUGGUGGCCGCAUGUUGUGCAUUUCUAAAUUGGAAAAACUCUUAAACACCAAACAACCAUGACAAAUACACUUUAAACUCAUAAUGGUUGGGUUAAUAAAAGUAGGGUAACAUAGCAACAUUACUCAUUUAAAGUUUUUUUUUUUUUUUUAACUCGUCUAAAAUGGGUUCUACAUAAUUUCAUAAUCUCAUGUCAUAGAUCACCAGACAUCUCUAAUAUUAAGAAGAAUGCUAGUUACAUUUCCUCAGCCUUUCUCAUUCAGUUUGUGCCACAUGUAUUCCAGUCAAGUGUAUUUCACUAACACAUUAAUUUAUGUAAUUAAUGCAAAGUAAUGAUAUUUUACUAAUAAAGAGAAUAAAAAGGGGAGAUUUUGGAAAAGACUAAAGGAGAGAGAAAAGAAGCAAAAAAGGACAAAAUUACCCUUAUGUAUUUUUGGAUUUUCUAAGGAAUUAUUUCAAUUUGCAUGUCUUUAUUUUGAAAGUUAAGAAGUUUUUCUAUCUUUUUUGAAAAAGCUUUAGCUUUUUCCAAAAGUGAAAGUUUUUUUUGUGGCUAAAACCUAAAUUUACUAAUAAAAAGUUGGUUGAACAUAUUAAAUACAUAGACUGCCACGUGUAUUCUACUAACACAUAAAUCUAUGUAUUUAAUGCAAAGUAAUGAUAUUUUGCUUGUAAAUAUAAUAAAAAGUUGGUUGAACACAUAGAUUUAUGUGUAAGUGGAAUAUAUGUGGCACAAAACUAAAUAGAAAAGACAAGAGAAGAUUGGAUAUAUCUUUACUCACCAUUUUAACCUAAUGUGUAUACUCACAAUCCUUCUUAAUACUUGACACGUGUCCAUAGACAUAACCAUGGUUAAUUUUUUAUUUUGUAUUUAUGAAACUAUGGUUCUGCAUGUUGACACGUGUCAAGUGAUGAAAAUAAUACGUCUAGAAUUAAAGUGGAGAGAAAAAUGUGGUGGCUAGAAUUCCUCAUAUAUUAAUGCAUCACAUUGGGGAGAAAUUAUAGAAUAGUACGGUAUCACCACAACAGCUGGUGAUACACCCAUUCAAAAUCUGCCACUUGUCUAUUUUUAUUUUUAAAAGUUAAAACUAAUUACAGCUGGACAUGAAAUUAUACUUUUACCCUUUCAAAUAAAAUCUUUGAAAAAAGAAAGAAAAAAGAGAACAAGUUACCCAAACUAUCUCCUUCCACCGUCGUACCCUGCUCUUUCAUUCUCUCUCUCUCUUCUUCCCUACGUCUCUCUGUCCUCUCUCGAUAACAUAUGAGAAAACUUGAGACUUUUUAAUUGAAUAUGCAGAUCUCAUUCAAUCGAAUAUGACUUGCCCAAAAGCUGACUUGGGAUCAAUUGGAAUAUGCAGAUCUCAUUCUUCUAAAUGAGAGAGAGAAACUGAGAGAGCGGGAGCGAUGGCCAGGGGAGGCAAAGCUGAGUGCAGUGGUUGGCGUACAAUAUUCUAGUUUUUUCGAUUUUUAAUUCUUUUUAUUUUGAGGGAGAUGAAUAAAUGGGCAGAAUUUCAAUGUGGAAAUAAACAACAAAUGUAAGAUAAAGUAGUUGCUGGUACAGUAGAGAGAUGGAAGGAGGAUUAGAAACUCAGAGAGAGGGGGCGGCGAACGGGAACUGGUAACUUCAGUCGAGUAGGAGUCUGGUGCAAUUUUCUUCUUUGUGGUUUUUCUUUUAUUAAUUUUAUUGUAAAGGGUAAAAUUGGAUGUGAAAGUCUAGUUGUAUAAAAAAAUGUAGUUUUCUUUAAAAAGUGACAAGUGAUAGAUUUAAAGUGAAAGUAUCACUGUAUGAUGUAGUGAUAUUAUAUCAUUCUAUAAUUUCUUCACAUGGGGCGCUACAACAUGUUUGAUUUUCCAAUGCAAUGGUACAUACAUCAACUCUUAUCAAUUUUCCCUUCACGCAUACUAUUUUUGUAAAUUGUGAGACACAUGACCUGCAAUCCGUCCAUUGAUCUACAAACCCAUUAUUGUCUGCUUGCUGUUGGCCAAUGAUUAGUUCAAACCAUCAUUGACCUUCUUUGAGUAGUCCUUUCACCUCGUGCUCUCGCUCAUGUCUAUCGAUACUGUUUUGGGGUUUAUUAAAAAACAUCGACAAUUUUUCUCUUUGCUUUUGGGGUGCGGCCCCUAUCUAGGGGCGAUGCUGUGUACAGGACAGGCUUGAGCCCAAAUUUUUUCAAAAAACAAAAAGCUACAUGUGUUAUAAGCCCAACUCAAAGUUAGAAAAAUUUAAAGGAAAUUUUACACAUAUGAUGUCCAUCCAUGUGAUCCUAUAUCUUCUCUCUCCUUCUCUUUUUGAUUAUGAGACUUCUUGUUUCUCUCUCUGUUUGCUACUCGAUAUCAACUUGUUUCUCUUUCUUUUUGGGGGGGGGGGGGGGGGGGUCAAAUUCUCCCUCUAUUGGCUACGUUUUCUAUUAUCUUGGGUGGGCAACUUGGCAACAUCUUCUCCUCUCCUUUUGUCAACAAUUAGUAUUAUUCUCAUUCUCUCCUUUUUCUAUAUAUCCUCAAUUAUAGUUUUAAUUUAAAAUGGAGUAUUCUAGGGUUUAAUUAGAGAUGAAUUAUAAUUUUGGGAUUUUGUUGAAAUUAAUUAGGACUUUGAUUAGGGAUGAAUUAUUAUAGGGCUUUGAUUUGGGAUUUUGUUAAAAUUGAGUAUUCUAGGGUUUAAUUUGGGAUGAAUUAUAAUAUUUGGUUUAGUAUUUGAUGAGAUGCUAUUAUGAGAAUUUGUUUGAUUUUUUUGUCAGUAUGUUUGAUUAAAAUUCUUUCUACAUAUUAUUCAUAGGCUAUCUUUUAUUAUGUUCAAUCACAAUUGGAAUCCCAAGAGAACAAAGAAUUUGUUAUCUUUUUUUAAGAAAAAGAAUGAUGGGUCAUCUAAUUGGUUUAAGCCUGAAUUAGAUAAUCUUUCAACUAAUUGGUCUUUGUUUUUGUAUGGUUUUGGCUAAGUUAUUCUAUUUCGUUUUUUGGUUGAAAGUUUAUCUAAUUUAGGUUUGAUAUGCACUUACGAGUUUGGCUUUUGGUUUAAGCAUUGCUACAGUAUUCUUUGCUAUUGCUUACCAAUAUCCCAUUGACAAAUAUUUUUGUUAUUUUUUGCUUUAAUAGAUGAAAAUUUAGAGACGAGAAGCCCACAAGAAGGACUCGGACAUAUAAAUUUAUGGAAGAUACUAAUGAAAAUAAUUUGGACUUAGUUUUCAAUCCUCAAGUAGAAGAUCAGGCAUAGGGGUGGGCGAGGUCCGGUUCUCACCUCAAACCGGAACCGAAAUCGGUAUUAUUUAACCGGUUCGGUUCGGUCCGGUUUAGGCAAAAAAAUUUCAAAAACCGGCCGGUUCGGUUCUAACCGGUUCCGGUCCGGUUCUGACCGGUUCCGAUUUUGAACCGGAUUAUUAAUUUUUUAUUUUUUUAUUUUUUUUAAUAAAAAAAUUAUAAUAAAUAACUUAUUUUUUUAGCUUAAAAAUGAACAAAUAAUCCAAUUCAUACAUUUAGAAAUUUUUUGAAGUUGAACUUGGAAAAUUAGUGAUUAUAAAAGUUAAAAUAUGGCAUUAGAUUUUAAAAUUUUGUAAAAAUAAAAAUAUAAAAUAUAUGACCGGUCCGGUGCGGAGAGAUGUAAAAUUGGAACCGGAACCGGUUAGAACCGGUUCGGUCCGGUUCCGGUCCGGUUUGUUGACUUUUUUGGUCAACCGGUUUUUUUUCCAGUUUUUUUUUACCGGUUCGGUUCGGUGUUCCGGUUUUCCGGUCCCGAUGCCCACCCCUAAUCAGGCAUGUACCAAAAAUUGGUAAGGAGUUUGAAUCACUUGAGCAUGCAUAUAACUUCUAUAACAAGUAUGCAAAAGAAGCGGGAUUUAGUGUUCCUAGUUAUUGUCAGCAAAUGAGUAAAACUUCUAAUAAGAUCUUAAGAAAAGAACAUGUGCGCUACAAAGAGGGAAUAUAUUCCAAACAAGUUUCUAAUGGAAGUGAAAGGUGGCACAGCGUAGUAUGAAGUGGGUGUAAGGUUAAGAUUGCGAUUCUAAAGGUAAGAGAAGGAACAAAAGACAUAAUUUUUAACUUUGUGGAGGGCCACAAUCAUGCUUUGACAACCCCUCAAAUAGUACAUUUGUUGAGAUUGCAUCGCAAAAUUUCUAAAGUUAAUAAAGUAUCGGCACAACAAUUUGGUGAUGUUAAUAUCCCAACACAUCAACAAUUUAGUCUUCUUCAAGUGCAAGCAGGAGGGAUGCAAAACAUUAGAUAUACAAAGAAAGAUUUAUAUAGAGAAAGAUGAAGAGGCAUGAUGCACAGAUGUUGAGUGAGCAUGUUAUUAGCGACCAAGCAAAAAAUGAAUCAUUCAUUUUUAUAAUAGAGGCUGACGACGAUGAAAGGCUUAAACAUUAUUUUUGGGCUGAUCCAACAUCUAGAAGAGCUUAUAAGUUUUAUGGUGAUGUAGUUGUAUUUGAUAUCACAUACAAUACUAAUCGGUAUUAUAUGGUAUUUGCCCCAUUAGUAGGAGUUAAUAACCAUGGUCAAACUAUUGUUUUUGGUUGUGGGUUCUUGAGCAAUGAGACCACCGAGUCUUUGCUUUGGUUGUUUAAGCAAUUUAAGAAAGCUAUGCUUGUUGGUCCGCCAAAAAUAAUUAUUACAGAUUAGGAUCCAGCCAUGGGAAAUGUUGUUUCACAAGCUUUUCCAGGUGUGUUCUAUAGAUAUUGCGUUUGGCACAUUUAUAAGGAUGAAAAUAAAGAACUUCAAAGUUGCGUGUGGGAAUCAGGCACAAAGGAAGAAUUUGAGUCAAAGUGGAUGGAUGUGGUCCACAAAGGUAAACUAAAUGAUGAUGAGUGGCUAUCUUCAAUCUAUAGAAUAUGUUCAAGAUGGGUGCCAGCAUAUGUGAAAGAUAUUUUUUCAGCAAAAAUGUCAAGUACCCAAUGAGUAGAGGGUGUUCAUGCAUUUUUCAAGCUAUAUAUUUCAAAAAGAAAUUCUUUAAUGGAUGUCAUACUACGGUUUAACAGGGCGCUUGCCCAGCAACGUCAUGAAGAGAUAAUUGUUGAUCAUGUUGAUAUCAAUGAGCAGCCUAUAAUGGAGAAGCAAAUGGCUGCCAUUUAUACUCCUAAAAUUUUCUAUAAGUUUCAUAAAGAGUUGUGGAAAUGUUUGGCAUGUGUACUUCAACUGGGAAGAGAGGAUGAUAAUUUAUGCUUUCAUAAGGUAAUGGAGAGGACAAAAGAUGGUAGCUUAGCUUCAAGUUGAAGGUGCGUGAAGUCAUGGUUGACAAAGUUGCAGACUUUGCUUCAUGUAUAUGUAAGAAAUUUGAAUUUGAAAGAAUCUUAUGCAGGCAUGUGUUGGCAUACAUGAAAAUGAAACAAACUGAGUAUUUGCCAAAUAAAUAUAUAUUAAAGAGGUGGACAAGAGCUGCAAAAUCUGACAUAGUUGUGGAAGAGGGUGGAAGGGAAAUGACUUCGAAAUCAUCCAAAGAAGACAUGACUCUUCGAAUCAUAUCGGGAGAUCAUAGCUAGCUUUAAUAUCCCCAUUUGCAACACCUCACCUCCCAACCAGUUGUCCACAUCAAUAAUAAACCUCUCCCCAGAUUACACCAAACUUAAAACGAAACAAAAAUGAGCUAAGUUCUUACAAAGACCAAGUAAAAGCCAAACCCAAAUCAGUAAGGAUAUCCCUAUAAAAAGAAAUACAAAAUCAAUGCAGACAAGAAGGGAAAUGACGUAUUGCAUAUACAGAGUCACAAAUAGCAGUUGAUGAAAGCAUCGGAUGAAAGCAUAGGGAAGAGAAGGUGUUGUGGUGGAAGAAAGAACAGAGGUUAGUAGAGACUUAUAGGAGCUCUUAAAUAUGAGGAGAGAGAAAAGCUCCAUAUAAUUUAAUGCUGCUUUAUUUUAUGAGUAUUUUAAACAUUUAAUUAAUGCUAACUAUAUUUUUUUUUUUAUAGAGAUGAACCAAUUAAAAAGAAUUAUAGCAUUUAUGACUCCCUAAACUAAAGACUAUGAUAUGAUUGGAGUUAAAAUUUUAUAGAGAGCUCCUAAAAUAGUUUUUAUAUGUUUUUAACUAAAUUUUAAAGUGCUGCUAAAUGAACCAUAAAAUUAAUUGAGUACACUCUACUGACAAACUAAUUAUUGAAAUACUAAUUUACCCUAAUAUAAAAUAACCACAACGGAUAUAUUGAAUUGUGAAAUAAAUGUGAUUUUAAUAAGUACAUCAUACCCACCAUAUUCAACUAUAAUCAAACGUAAGCGAAAAACCCUAAUUCCAAAACCUUAGUAUUGAUUCCAACAAUUAGUUUCAUCAUUAUUUAGUAAUUUAUUUAUGCAAACAAGUUUCAUGUAUGCUUUAGACAUGUUGAGGGAGUCAUCAAAAGAUAUAUUAACUUUGAUUUUUUUGGUUUAGGUUGAAAAAAAAACUUACCGGUAACAAAUUUUCUUCCUUCCCCUAUUCCCCAACCUCCUUUUCCACGGAAAGUUUCUCACGACGUCACAUAUAGAUCACAUCAUUACAUUCAUUCUCCACAUCAAUUCUAGCAUCGCUGGAUAAUUGAAUAAAAUUAAUCCAAUAAAAAUCUUAUACUCUCUUGACCAUCUAAAAAAUACAACUAAAUUACUAUUGCUGUAAAUCUGGACAGAUCUUAUUUUGCUCAUCAAAAUAAUAUCCCAAAAGGAUUUCCUAGCUGAAGUCUAAAAAUGUUCAUGAUGGAUUUUAUAAAUAUUAACUGUUUUGUGCCAAACUUCACCAACAAUGAAAAUGAAAUUAUCUCAACCCACUCUUCAAAUAUGGAUCUAUAAAGUGCAAAGAGGAGGGAUGUGUGAAUCAGCGAUGCAUUGUUAGGGUGUAUUUGAGAUAUUUUUGGUAUUUAAAUAGGGUGUAUUUGGUUAAUUUUACAUUUUGAUUUAAAUAUUAAAAUGUACUUAGAUCAUAGGAUGUACUCAAUUAAUUUUAGGAUUCAUUUAGUAACAUAACAAAAAAAAUAAAGAGCAUGAUUGUAAAUGCUCUAAUCAGGAGAAAUUUUGGCACUAAUGAAAAGAUUGAAAAGCUUUGAUAUUUACGGAUGUGAAAACGAGUCCUCUCAGUUAUGUUUUAAAUCUACAACAUAAAAAUAAUUUCACGAGUCCUCUCAGUUAUGUUUUAAAUCUACAACGUAAAAAUAAUCUGACGGUCAAUAAUAGAAGUCCGCAUCAACUCCGCACAGUUGCACUUCGUAAUGGAGAAAGUCCCUUAUACCACCGGCUCGGCCCAAUAAACCAACAAAUCAGUAGUCUACAAUUUUCUGCAUCAAUCUUCGUUAAAAAAGAACAAAAUAACGGUAUUGCAAACUUCACUUCCUCAUUUUGUAUAAAGUUACUGAUCCUCUCAGAGGAACAAAGAUUUACCGGUUUCACUACAGUACACGAUAAAACUGUUACCUUAAGAAUAAUAAAGCAAUUCGUUCCGAUUUUCUAAAGUUUCAAGAGGGGAACACUACAUGUUUUACAGCCAAGGUAAUUGAUCCUGCAAUGUCGCAACGAUGCUUUGUCCAUCAUCUAAAAUGGGGAAAAGAAUAUUUUAUGUUAUCAGACAUCAACCUGUCCAAGAUGACUGUGUAGCUCCAUAAUGCAAAAAGGCCUUCAGUUGUCUAAAUUUGUAUACUCACUUUAACAUAUGCACCAAGGUUAGAGACCGUUACGUCGAAAGAAUGCUUUCACUCCUGAAAGAGCAGAUCAAAGACCCUCGCGCCGCCUAACUGGCUUUUGCUUUGGUUCACAGCAGCAUGCAUAACUCAGAUAUGCAGAGCUUCGUGCAAUCACAUGGAUUUGUUCAAUCAAUUCCCUGCGUCUGCAAACUUCUUGGACAAUGAACUGAAAAAUGUGGACGGGAGAGCACCACUAUGUGAAACAAGAUAUACAAUAAAUGUUAUAUAUGCAGCCGUGCCACUGCAGACCAGAAGAGCAAACAGCAGUCCAUUGACUUCAGAAAUGAAGAAAUCCAACAACAGAUAACCAUUUAUCACCAUCACUAAAGCAGCCACAGUCCAUGCCACUCUCUGCAAAAUAAAUUGAUAUUUUCAAUUAUAUGAAAGUCAACUAAUCUGAACCAAAGGCUCACCCACAUACAAAUUGGACCAACAAAUGCUAUGAAGGAUAUGCUUUUCUUAUAUCCACCCACAUCAUUCCAAUUUCAGAUUACUUUACUUAAAAAUUAACUUUUACUGUGCAAAAUGAGCUGCUGAUAACCGUACGCUUCUGCUAUGAACCUGCUUUAGCAGAACUUGAAAUGAAUAAGUAUUCUCUCCCUCCCUCCAUCCCUUCCUAAAUGAAUAUCUCUCCCUCCUUCAACCCCUCCUUUUUCUUUAGAGCCAUCCAAAUAUGAAACAUGGAUGGCGAUCCAAUAUCAAUAUCAACCAUGACUAGUUUUUAUUGAAUAGACAGAGCAAAACAAACCAAAGAUAUGGCUGUUCACAGAAAGCUAAAAACCAAAAUGAUAGAAAUAAUGAAGUUAACAACUUACCUCGAGAACAGGUCCAAUCUUAAAGACCCCCAUGACCUGCUCCUUGGACACCAAAGUAAGAAGUGGUAUAAGAGCAAACGGAAUCUGAAUCGACUGAAGCACAUUAAGCCAUUCAUUCAAAACAUCCAACAAAGCCUCAGACCGAUUAAAAAUAAUUGCUACAACUAUAGUUGGCACAAUUGCAAAACUUCGUGUGAUCAAUGCCCUCAGCCACUUCUUCAAACGGAGAUUAAGAAAGCCCCCCAUGAUAAACUGCCCAGCAUAUGUCCCAGUUAUUGUACUACUUUGCCCAGCCGCCAAUAACCCAAUACCCCAGAUAUAAAGAAUCGGAUAAAGCCCUCCUCCAUACUUGUCCUGAAGAUACUGACCAGCAUUUACUAGUCCUAUACUAUUUGCUUGUUUAGUACCAUAAAAUCCCUUAGCAAAAACAGUGGUGACAAACAAAUUGAUCAUGAAGGAGAUAAAAAGUGCAAUUGAUGACUCAAUUGAGUAGUAGUUUAGUGCCUCUUGAACCCGUCCUUUCUUGUUGGGAUCGAUAUUUCUUGACUGUACUAAGGCAGAAUGCAAAAAUACGUUGUGUGGCAUAAUGACACAACCCACAACCCCCACAGCCUGCCGAAUUGUUUUGGAGCUAAGUCUUGGAACCAGAAUCCCUGCAAGCACGAGGAAGUCGAUAAAUAUGUAUCAGGACGGCCAAUGGUGAUAUAGUUUACUUAGAUUCAAUGUUUACAUAGCAUAAUAAAUACAAUUUUUACCCAUUAAUAGUUCUUUUCCACUUGGUUUUGUGUCAACAAACAUCCAGGCAAACGAUAAACCCAUAGUUGCUAUGAGAACUGCAAAAACAGCUUCCAACUUCCUCACCCCAUAGUUCUCAAGAAAUAAAAAGAUGAAACUGUUGCAUGAAAGAGAACACAGAAACCCUAGUUAACAUAAUUAUCCAUGAAGGGCCAAAUUGACCAGCUACUCCCCCAUGCCCAUCCGCCAUGGAAGAAGAGAGCAAAUUGUCACUUAAGACAUGAAAUUAACAUGAUACAAUUAUAAGAAAUUUUAUUAUUUUCAAUUUUCAAGGAUAAGUAACAGAAUUCUUCAAAACCAUGAAUUCCCAACUUAAUCUCCCAAUCCCAACCACAAUUCAUUUUAAUUAAGUUGGGUUUAAACUGAGACUUAGCACCCCAGCAAUUAUGACGAAGAAAAAUAAAUGGUGAGGAUGUUAUAAAUUUCAACCUACCCACUCCAACCUAAUGUCAUUUGACCCAAGCUCAUUGUUCAAAUAAUUAGCCUAAGUUCCAUUCAAUCAAAAGAAAAUCAGCUAGAAAAUUAAAGAUUCCAUCCAGAAGUCAAGCUUCAGAAAAGCAAAAUUACUCCCCCACUUGGUGAUGGACUGAAAUGGACAAAAUUAUGCAAGGAAAACCAGAGUUCAAGAACAAAUGAACAAGACAAAAACCCCAAAUAAGACUUGAAAAACGACAUCAACUGAAAGUAAAUACUCAAUACCAACCAAUCCAACGCCGUAAUGAGAACUCCAGCCCAGAGCGGCAAAACCCCAUGGCUAAGAAUCUGAAUAGCAAUGGCGCUCCCAAUCACCUCUUGAAUAUCCGCCCCAAUCAACGCCAGCUCAGCCAUGAACCAGAGCACCAACGCGGCCCAUUUCGGAUACUCCUCCCUGCAAAGCUCCGCCAAGUGCCGGCCCGUGGCAACUCCGACCCGAGCCGAGAGCAGCUGGACCAGCAGGCCCAUGGCGGUGGCCCACAUUAAAAGCCAGAGCAGCGAGUACCCGGCGAUCGCGCCCGACUGGAGAUCCCCUUCUAAAUUACCCGGAUCCAAGAACGCUAUACUCAUCAGGAAACCCGGACCGGUGAACAGCCAGAGCUUCUUCCACGAGAAGGGCGGGACCGCCGUGGAAUUGUCAUCGACGGCGUCAAUUGAGUCCACGUCUUCGGCAAUCAGGAUCUUCUCUCUGGCCUCGAAUGCCACCUCGUCGUCGUCGUCCCAUGCCGACGACAGCGACAGCGACUGCGGCUGCAGCAAGCGGUUUGCUUCUUCGUCCUUGGCAUCUUGGAGCUUCGGCUCGUCAUCGUCUUGGCGCAAUUGAGCGCUCAUGGUUUGUUGGUAGGCGUCGUCAACGAAAAACGGAGCGUCGCCGUUUUUGGUUUUUGCGUUUAAUGUUGGAUUUUGGGGUGGACUCUGGAGAUUGAGUGGACUGUGGCCUGUUGAGUUGUAUGGGAUGGGUUACGUUAGUGGAUAAACGGACCGACCGAUAUGGGUGGGCUCUUGAGAGUAUCGUUGAGGAGGCUUUGCGUUUCGUUGCAUUUUAUAGUCGUUUUUUUUUUUCUUUACGUGCAAAAUAAUUAGGCAUUUAUUAUUGGUUGCAGUCGUCUUGUAGAUGCAACAUUUAGUGUUUCUGGCCAUUAGGAGGUUUCCACGUGUUGGAAUGGCUGAUGCCCUUUUCUUACUUUGAAGUUUAAUUACUGGGGUUUAUUAUUAUUAUUAUUUUUAAUACAAGAGAUAUUGGGGGAGUGUGAAAUCAUAAUAUAUGUUUGAUUACAUUAGAAGAAAGAGUAAUACGGAUAUUAGCACUUCAGCCUGAGUUGAUUAACUAAUUAUGUCUAUAUUAGUUGUGUAGUAUCGAUUAACAUGAAUUGAUUGUCCAUUAAAACUUUGUAACUGCUAUCUUGAAUGAAGUUUUUCUUGAUAAAAUGAAAUAAAUAUAUCACAAUUGUUCAUGAUUACAAAUAAACCAAUAAUAUUCGUUUUUCUCUCUCUUAUGUAAGUUGUUAAAAUUUACACGCAUAACUUCUAUCCAAAUAAGAAAAUAAUCUGGGGGGAGAUUUAUUAUUGAUGUGGACAACUCUUCAGGAGGUGAAUUUGUUGUUAUACAUAGGUCAUAUAUAUUAUCAAUUAAAACCUCAGAUAAUUAUUGCGUUUUUAUGGGAAUCCAAAAACUCAAAAUUGAAGAUUUUCUUGGGAAUUACUUCAACGUCUCUCACAAUCAGUGUAUGGACCUUGGCUAGUCAUUGGAGACUUUAAUGAAAUCUUGAUGGCUUCAGAGAAAAAAUGUAUGAGAGAUCGCCCAACAUAUCAAAUGAACUCUUUUCGCCAGGCAGAUUGUGACUUGUGUAGUGUCCCAUACCAAGGAUAUCCUUUCACUUGGGCUAGAACAUACUUGAGUGGGGAUAUGGUGGAGGAAAGGUUGGAAAUAUGUGUGGUUAAUGGGAGAAUUAGUGCGGAUUAUGGUCAUAUUCUGACAUGUCAUUUAGUAGCACUAGGGUCAGAUCACUAUCCGAUACUUGGCGAAUUAUUGAAUGAAACCCCCACUGUGGAGGCAAAGAAAAAAAGAAGAUUUCAUUUUGAACAAAUGUGGACACUUAAGAAAGGUUGUGAAGAUAUUAUUCGUGAGGAUUGGGAUUCAACUGUUGUUAUGGGAGGCGUGAAGGAGCAAAUUAAGAAUUGUGCAGGGAAAUUGGCAGAAUGGAAUAAAUUAACCUUUGGGCAUGUGCAAAAGCAGCUUGUUGCUGCCCAUAAGGAACUGGAGGUUUUACAGGGGAGAAUGGGACAAGAUCAAGUGUUGCUAAAGAAAAAAGUAGAAAGGACCAUUGUUGUCUUACUUGAGAAAUAGGAGGUAAUGUGGAGGCAGCAUUCUAGGGUUGCUUGGUUAAAGGAAGGGGACAAAAAUACUAGGUUUUUUCACGAAAGAGCCAACACAAGGGAACGAAAAAAAAAAUACAAUAAAAGGGUUGUAUGAUGAAGAUCAUUUUUGGCAAACAGAUAAGCAAGUUAUUGGUUCGAUGUUCUGCAAUUUUUUCAAUAAUUUAUUUUCUACUUCAGAUGGCAGGGAUACGGAGAGAGUCUUAGAGGCGAUUGAGCCACAGGUGACGCACCAGAUGAAUUACCAAUUACUCCAAUCUUUUACUAGAACAGAUGUGGAGACUGCAUUGUUUCACAUGUAUCCUACGAAGGCACCGGGGCAUGAUGGAAUGCCGACUCUUUUCUAUCAAUGCUACUGGCACAUUGUAGGGGACGAGGUAUCGCACACGUGCUUGCAGAUAUUGAAUGGAGAAAGCAGUGUCCCAGAAUUUAAUCAUACUAUAAUCUCCUCAAUUCCUAAGGUGCAGACAAGUGACUGAAUUUCGACCACUAAGUCUGUGUAUAGUGAUUUACAAAAUUAUUGCAAAGGCUUUUCCCAAUAGACUCAAGUGCUUAUUACCUUCCGUUAUCUCCAAGUCGCAAAGUGCUUUUGUACCCCAACGUCUGAUUCUUGAUAAUGUGAUGGCAGCCUUUGAGAUAAUGCAUUUUAUGAAAGGCUUGAAGAAAGGGCAACAAACGAAGAUGACCAUUAAACUUGACAUGGCUAAGGCCUAUGAUCAAGUAGAGUGGUCCUUUUUGCAAGCAAUAAUGUUGAGAUUGGGAUUUGCUUCAGAGUGGGUAAAACGGAUAAUGGACUGCUUAAAAAUAGUUACUUUUUCGGUGCUUUGGAAAGGUAAUCUAUUCGGGCAUGUCGUUCCUCAGAAAGGGUUGAGACAAGGGUGUCCCUUUCACCAUACUUAUUUUUAAUGCGUGCUGAAGGCUUUUCAAGGCUGUUGCAGAAUGCUGAAAGGAUAGGGAGUUUGCGUGGGAUUCGAAUUGCUCAUGGAGCUCAUUUAGUCAAGCAUUUAUUCUUUACUGACGAUAGUAUUCUCUUUCUUGAUGCAACCAAAGAGUCAUGUGAAGUAGUAAAAAAUAUAUUUCAAGUGUAUGAGGAGACUUCUGGGCAGAAGAUCAAUUUUACAAAGUCGGCUUUAAGUUUGAGCCCAAAUGCUACUGCUAUUGAAAAAUAAAUAGUUUUGGAUUUACUGGAAAUUCCGUUGGUGUCUUGCCAUGAAAAAUAUUUAGGUUUGCCUAUGGUGACGGGCAAGGGAAGAAAGCAGAUUUUCGGGAUUGUCAAAGAUCGAAUCGGAAAACGAAUUAGUGGGUGGAAGGAAAAGCUCUUAUCUAGAGUUGGUAAAGAGAUCCUAAUUAAAGUUGUGUUACAGGCUAUGCCCACCUACUUAAUGAGCUGCUUUCGGAUGCCUAAGGGGAUGUGUAAGGAACUUCUUGGCUUGAUGGCUAAAUUCUGGUGGUCUAAAAGUAAGAAUAUGCCAGGUAUUCAUUGGACUAAAUGGGAGAUAUUAUGUGUGAGCAAGCAUAUUGGGAUUUAGAGACCUUAAGGCUUUCAAUCAAGCUCUCCUUGCAAAAAAAAGUUGGAUAUUAUUUUUUAAAUGUAAUUCCUUGGCAGCGAUAAUUUUCAAGGCCCGAUAUUUCUUGCAUUAUAAUUUUCUAGAAUCUGGAUUGGGGUAUCAACCCUCACUUAUUUGGAGUUCGUUGAUAUGGGGGAAGGAUUUGUUGAAGGCGGGUUUGCGGUGGAGAGUUGAAAAUGGUGAAGAUAUACAUGUUUAUCAGGAUCGGUGGGUGCCUUUACCAAUGAAUUUCAAGAUUAUCUCAGCGCCACAAUUUGAUGCUUCUAUGAAAGUAUGCGAGUUGUUUAAUGCAGCCGGACAAUGGGAUAAAGAGCUACUAAAAGCUAAUUUUUGGGAACAGGAAGUGAAGGCUAUCCUCCAAAUCCCAUUGGCUUCAAUUCAUAGAGAGGAUAAAUUAAUUUGUCACUAUGAUCGAAGCGGCAAAUACUCAGUCAAAAGUGGUUAUAUGGUUGCAUGCAUGAAGAAGCAGAGGGAAAAUGGCAUGGAAGGGUCCUCGACACAAGAUGGUACAUUGUUAUGGAAAAAACUAUGGAGAUUACAGGUGCUUAAUAAAAUAAAAUUCUUUCUAUGGAGAUGUAUUUGGGGGUUUUUGCCUAGCAGACAAAAUCUUUACCAUAGGAAGAUCUUGAAUUCUCCAAUAUGUCCACGUUGUGGGAAGAAAGUGGAGUCAAUUAAUCAUGCAAUAUGGGCUUGUAAUGAAGUGAAAGAAAUAUGGUCUUUAUCACAUUAGAGCGCAAAUCGACAUGAGUGGAGAAUUACAUCUUUCAAGGAACUUUGGCAAUCUGUGAUUGUGGUCUCAAGUAAAGAGGAGGUAGAUCUUUUUGCUUUUCUGUGCUGGGAUAUUUGGAAUGACAGAAACAAUCUGUUGUUUCAAGGACGAGGUCUUGAGAGUGUAUCAGUGUUUAAUAAAGCUUUGGCUUAUCAGAUAGAGUUUUACUAUGUAAAUCUUGCCCCUAUACGCUCCUAUAGUAGGCAAGGGCCCAAUUAGAGUUCUGUUAAUUGGCAUGCCCCAUUGGAUAGUCAGUACAAAAUUAAUGUUGACGGGACAAUCAAACUUGUUGGGUUAGUGCAGGGAGUUGGAGUAGUGAUUCGCAAUGGAAAUAGGGAAUUUAUGGCUGCUUGUUCUCGACAAGUGGUGGGACAUUUUAGUGCACAAGCUAUGGAACUAAUUGCUGCAAAGGAAGGUUUUCAGUUCGCGUAUGAUCUUGGCUUUCAUGAUAUUGUGCUAGAAAUGGAUGCGCAGGGGCGGUAGAUAGAAUCAAUUCUAAUGAAGAGUGUUUUGAAGCUAAAGGGAAUCUAGUGGAAGAUAUCAAUGAGAUGCAGGGGGUGGUUUAGAUCUUUCUUGUGUAACUGGCAACGACGAGAUGGUAACAAGGUUGCCCAUGAGCUAGCUCAAUAUGGCACUAGGAACGCUGGUUUUUUCACAUGGAUUGAGGAGGAGCCAUUAUGGCUAACUCGUUUUUUUUUCUGCAUAUCUAGAAGCUAAUGGCUGAUCUUUGUGUUUAAUGGCAAUUGUAUUAUACUAUCUGUUUAUUGAAUGAAAUUUCUUUCAUUAAAAAAAAAACCUCUAAGUCAUACCCCAAUUUUUGUACUUGUUUCAUCCUUCAUUAUUAAUAAAACACUAUCACUUUUGUGUCAAAAUAAUAUGAUGAGAUGAUGUAAUUAAACAAUAUCAUAAGAUUUGGUACCAACUAUAAUUAUGAUAAUAUUUGGGCAUCCGUAUUAAUAAAAAAAAGUAUUUGAAAUAAUAAAGCAUAGAACCAUUCCAAAGUCAAAAAGAAACCAUUAAAUUUAGGCUGAAUUUAGCUUGAUGAAGAGGACAGGCACCACUCUUUUAGUGAUAGGUGUUAACGCAUGCCAUUUGGCGCACAAAGCAUAGAACUCUUCAAGUGAUCAGCCACAAGGGCUUAUGCCUUUUGCCAAAGCCAGCAUGAGCAUGUACUGCUCUUGGCUAAAUAUAUGGAAAUUCGGAAACCCUUUUGAAUAGAGGUGCCAUGGCCAAGAACCUUUCGUUUUCCCUUUGCACCUUUUGAUCUUUGAAACACUGUGAGUGAGGUAAGGUUGCAAAUAUUGUCAAAGAUGGUGUUGAAGGCUGGCCAGGAUAAUAGCUAGCUAGGCUGUCGAAUCUCAUACCUCAACCACUGGAUGGAUUUAUAAUGAUAAAAGUUACUAAUAUGCUACAACACCAUCCAAUCCAAGCCCUUAUCUUUUCUUGAUUCUCUUGCUGAUUCUUAGGUUCUUAUAAUUUCCAAAUGGAUUUUGUUUUGCUUUAAUUGCUUGGUCUUAAACCUUAGACUAUCGUUCCCGAAUAAAAUAGAGCUAAGAAUUGAUAAUCACAAUCCCUUGGGUUGCUUCCAUUUUUGUGAAGUAGAGAGAAUAAAGAUGAAAGAGAGGGUGAUAUAUAUGUCUGUGCAUGUAGAAUUAGUCAAACAAAGUAGGGCAAAUAUUCAGAUAUGUUUAUAUUUUUAUUCUUCUCCAAUAUGGAGGUAUUUAUACAAGUACAAAGAUGUGUUAACCCUAAAUAAAAUAGGAAAUAUAUCUAAAUUACAAUAUGAAGUAAAUCUCUAUUAUAAUAGGACUAAAUAUUAAUUGGUAAGUAACCAAAAUUUUAAUGAAAUAAGGAACCAAAAUCCUAACUAAGUAAGGACUCGCCAACAUAAUUGCAGUCAUGAACUGAAGGCACACAUGAAAUAUUUAGUGUUGUGGGCUGUAAAUUGUAUGGUAAGCAAUGAUGGGUAGGUGAAGGGUUUAGGAAUGUUUAUUACCAUGCAAAUUGAACAUCAACUAAUAGACACUAGGACAAACUCAUCGGGGAGAGAGAGACAGAGAGAGAGAGAGAUAGAGAGAAACUUUUGCAGAAUAUAGGAAACCUUUAUUUCUUAUCUGGGGACUUUCUCUGAUAGAAGUAUCUGCUACAAAAAGAAAACUUGUGCAUAACCAAAGCCUAGUCUGCAUUACACACAAUAAUGCUCAUUUAUUUGGGUUGUUCAUGUACAUUUCACCCCUGAACCACCACAUUAAACAAAAAUUGCUGUGUCCUAAUCAUCAUAUUUAUUACUUCUUGAAAAAUACAUUAUGCAUCUGUUCUUUAAAAGCUAAAAUGACACAGAGAUAAAGUCAAUCAACAAAACAAUCUGCACAAACAGAACUAACAUGACAUGAAAUAGCAAACCCAAAAAGCCCAACAGGUGCUUUAGAGUUGAGAAAGCAGGGCCAGCAUUUUUGGGCGUGGCCUGCACUUUGCAAGCAAAGGGUGAGCUUUAGGCAUGGUGAGCCCAGGCCCUUCACUCAUAUCCACCUUCUCCUCACCAAUUCUCUCCCACUCAAAACACUGAACCAAUGACCCUAAGGCCAGCCCAACCAUCCUUAUUGCUAAGCCCUCUCCAGGGCAGCCCCUCCUCCCUGUCCCAAAGGGCAGCAACAUGAAACCAUCUCUCUCCCCUUGUACAUUCAAAAACCUCUCUGGCUUAAACUGUUUAGGCUGUGACCACAGCUUAGGAUUGUUCUGUAUGGCCCACAUGUUCACCAACAGCAUUGUUCCACGUGGAACAUGGUACCCUCCCACUGUGCACUCCUCUGAUGACUCAUGGGGUACCAGCAUUGGGUCUGCUGGGUACAUCCGCAGGGUCUCAUUUAUGAUGCCAUGGAGAUAGGGCAGCCUUGCAAAGUCUGCCUCUUCAAUGAGCCUGCUUUGUCCUAUUUCGAUAUCGAUUUCGGUCUGUGCUUUUGCAAGGGCUUCUGGGUUGUUCAGCAAAAGUGAGAGUGCCCAUUCCAUUGUUCCGGCUGAGGUUUCUGUCCCUGCUGAUAACAUCACCUGUGUGCAAUUAUGCAAAAAAGGCCUUAACCAAAAAAUCAUUGCAUUUGUUAUUGAGUUGUUUUCAUAGAUUUUGGUUAGGAGAGCUUACUUGUAUCAUGCCUCUUAUGAUUUCAUCACUGUAAUAUUCAGGUUCAGUUUCUUGCAGGGAAAGCAACACAUCCACCAUGGUCUUGCUCCUCUGUUCAGAAACAGAGCCACUCCGCAUUUUUCUAUGUUCUCCAAUAAAAUCUUGAGUGAAUUUAUCCCUCUUCUUCUGCAAUAUCACCAACUUCUUCUCAAGCCCAGUUACUCUCCCACAUAUUUCAAAGCUGGUACAAAAUCUCCAAUGUUAGUAGCCCCACUCAACUCAAAAGUCUCUAUCACAAGUUCUUUAAACAGUUGAGCUUCCUCCAGUUUUGCCCCAUGUUCCCCGUAAUAUCGUUUUCCAUCAAUCAUCCUCAUCAGAACAUUAAGAGUCAGCUCAAAAAAAGUUGACUUCAUGUCUAAGCUCUGAAAUACACCACCAUUACAACCUCGAAAAACUCGGGAAACCAAUGACCUGAUUUCAUCUGCACGGAUGCCAUGAAACAUCUGAAGGCGGUGAGAUGACAAUAACUCAAGGGAAGCUAUGCGUCUCAUGUUGAGCCAGUGAGAGCCAUAAGAUGCCCAGACAAGGGUGGUAUAGUUGUAUCCGAGGUGUUUGCCGGCAAGCAGCCUAGGACGGUUUGCGAAAGCAAUGUCAUUUUUGGUGAAGCAUUCCUCAGCUGCAGAGGGAGAAGAGACAACAAUGACAGGACGGGAACCAAAUUGGAUGUACAAUAUUGGACCAUAUUUUGUGGACAAUUUGGCAAGUGUUCUGUGGAGGGGUUUCUUGAUGAGGUGGAGAUGACCUAUGAUGGGGAAGGAGAGACCAGGGCUUGGUGGGAGUCUUUUGUUAAAUUUCUGCAAAUAGUUCUUGAGGAAAAGGAAGUUUCCAUGGAUAUGGUGAAUAUUGCCUGCAAUGCUGAAACUGAUGUACUUGCUAAUAUAUGAUCAAAUCAUCUGGUACAUUUCAUUGCUGGGCAGUUUUAUUGGUUGAUGGAAAGUAAUAAUAAUAUACAACAGUAAGUGUCCAAAAUUGGGGAUGCUAUCUAACAAGACAGCCGCUUGAGAUUCCAAUAUGUAGUCCAUCCAGAUCACUUAUAUAUGGAGAUGCUGAAAAUCCCAAGUAAUAGCAGCUGGACACAAACUGACACUUCAUCAACUUAAGGGCUUCAAGUAUAAUCACCUUAGGUAUCUGCCUAGCCCAGCCACACAUAUAUUAGCUUCACAUAUAUUGUAUACAGAAAUACUGCGACUGACUGGAUUGUUGUCAUUUGAUGUUGUCCAAUUAGAUAUCACACACCAUUGUCUUAUGGGAGCUCAAAUAUUCCCUAUCAUAUGAAUGUAGCAAUGUCAUGGCAGCAUAAAAAAGAAUAUUAAAAUAGUCUCCUUGUGGGUUCUUUGCUUUCUUCUCAAGAAAGUUGGAAGAAAUUAUAAACAGACUCUCUUCAAGUGAUUGAAUUUUCAAAGACUUGAUGCAAUCUACAUUCUCUCAAUGAACAAGUAUCUAACAUAAGCACUUAACAGGGUCUCAUCUAACAUUUUCAUGGAUCUCUUUCUCAAGCAUUAGAGUAUACUAAACAGAGCUUUUCCUUCGUGCACUAGUGUCGGCCGAUAAAUAAUUCACACCAGAGUCACUCUCUUCUGUGCAGCUUGAUCCGAGAAAGAACAAUUCAUGAGGCAUAUUGAGAAAUUAGGCAGUGGAUUUGAGCACAAGAGUUUGAUGGCACUCACUCUACAGAUACAAUUUUUCUCUUUCCACACUCACAAAAAAAAUAAAAUCCUCUCAACCUUCUAAUCACAAAAAUUCACGAUCAAGGCCUUUGCUUUAAGGGUUAAACAAUUUCCUCACUUUGUGAAUGAGCCUUCUACAUAUUGGACACACCUUAUUCUCCCCAUCCAUAAUCCUGCAAGAUUCAUUUUAGUCAAAAUCUGUAUAAAAUAAAAUAAAAUAACAUGUGAAAAGAAGAAUAUGAAACUCUUUGUUUAUGUACCUCUGAGCACAGUCAUAGCAGGUGGCACAAUGACCACAGGGAACGAAGAAGGAGUUGCGCUGCUCAUCAUAACAAAUUAUGCAUAAUUUUUCAUCAUAUAAUUCCUCUGAGGAGCUACUAGAUGCUCCUGGAUCUUCUUCAUCUUCUUCAUUUGUCCCAUAUGUCCGUCGCAUAUUCUUCUGUGGCACUAUAGGGUAAGUCUCAUUAACUUCUUCCUCUACUCUUUCUACUACGGUACUACUCUCACCAUCGCAGGCGCCAAGGUAUUUCAAUAUAAGAAAAAUAGUCACCACAAUAAACCCUGAAAGUUGAACAUAAUUGAGAUCAAUGAUUGAAAUCACAAGAUUAUUGAAAAAAAGUACUAGGAGAUCAACAGAAGUUAGGUCUUUUUCUGAUUUCUGUACCUAAAAUUGCAAUGUAGGUUACGACACGGGCCACAAAUGAAAGCUCAAUGUACCAAUCACCAAGAUACCCCUGCAAUGACUUUGUUGGUUAUGUUGCCCCAAAUUUUGUAACUAGGUGAGAUAAGUAUGGGAUCAGGCCUUACAUUGUUAGGUGUGGUUAGUAUGACAUAGUGAGUAUUGGGGAAUACUAGUCUGAGCCGGCAUGAACCCUUUGUUGUUGAGCAGAUGGCCUUAGCUUUCGUAAUGUCAUACAUCGUUGACGAAACAUUUACAUUCAGUGUUAUGAUUAUGCCUCUAGGUUUUGUGUUUAUGAUGUCAAGGUAGUACUUGUCAUCUUCCUCAAUAUUGUACUCAGCUUCUUUACCUGAACAAGCACACAUAUGAUGAACAUUUGCACGCAAGUUUUGUGAUCAGUUUUUUCAUGCCCCUAAAACACUUCCUUUUUUAUGCAAUCUAUUUGUACCACACUAGUUUUGAAAAUGUAGAAUUGGUUACCGAUUUUGGUUUCCUCAGAGGCAAGGCCAUCUUGAGAACUUGUAUGUUCCGGCUCCAAUAUUUCAAUCUUUUGUUCCCCUGUCAAAACAUGAAUACAUUUGCUAUAGGAUGAGACCCGAAACGUAAAUUAGAUGCAGCGUAAAGAGAAAAUAGAGUUAUGCUACUCUCAUUAAAUUUGUUCACCACAUAAUGCGACAGUUCCUCAUUUAUUCAAAAUUUGGGUUCAUUAUGGACCUCAUUUACUUAUAACACCUGUGACAAAAUUUAUUGAAACUUACCUUUAAGCAUAACAACUUGGAGUUUAUUUAAUGUAGUGGCAUGAGCUUCCACUCUCAUGGAUAUCCUUGAACCCUUGUUUAACCAGAAGGAAAAUCCCUGAAAAGAAAAUUUCAACCUCUCUAGAGAUCCAAAUCAAUAAUUUGGAGGCAAUGCAUAAACGUGGGAGCUCAGAAACCGUAAUUACACAAAUGAAAUCAAAUUAAAAAUUUCAAUUGGUACAUACCUUGCGACUAUAGGACCCAACAAUCAAGUAAUUGGAGACAGUCCAAUUGGUUUGGUGGCUCAAUUCAGGCUCUUCAGAGAAAGCAUAGAGAGAGACCCCUUUCCUGUCAACAUCUCUCACUUCAACAUGUUCUACAAAGACAGCGCUAGCCUUCAUCAAGCGAGAGGAGUUCGGCCCAAUCUCCAUCCGACGGUCGCCAUAAUACCCGUACCGGAGACUCACCGAAACUGCCAAAAAAACAAGUGAAGUGCUCUGUUUGAGAUGCAGGGGUCAGUGGAAGAGAAAUUGGCAUUGAAGAUGAAAAACUUAUGUAUACAUGCCGCAUAUCCAAAGGGUCAAAGGAGUGAGGAGGCGCGCCCAAGUCUCUUGCCACCGCUGAUGGCCGGCUGGAGGAGCCGGAUGCGCCCACAUCGGACGGUACAUGGCUCGAGCAGAAGGAUGGGGCUGAGAGAGAGAGAGAGAGAGAGAGAGAGAGAGAGAGAGAGAGAGAGAGCGAAAGCUACAGAGAGUGGUGGUUGUUAGAAGAAGUUUCAAUUGUUCUACUGGAGGAGAGGAAUUGGGAUUGGGGGGAAGAAGACUAGUAGCUUUGUGUCUGGUAGUUUUGUUAGGUUCCUCCAUCAGCUCAACUAACCGUUUUUUCAUGUAGUUGGCGGAAAAUUUGAAUGGCAAGUUGUUUUUUGAAUGUUAGGUGUUAGUUAUUUUCGUUAUUUCAUGGCAGCCCUGUACAGUAAACCCAUAGUUUUGAAUGGGUUUCUAUCCCUUUGUGCCUCAUUUACUAUACGAGCUCAUUAUUUGAUGAGCUAAUUUAAUAGCUCUAGUAUUUUUGUAUGUAUUGUAAUUUAUUUUAUAAUUUAAGAACUUUUGUUUCUUGAUUUAUUUAAAGUAGAUCCUAAUAUAUAUAUUUUUUUUUUGUCCAACAAAGCAAGAUAUAUAUAUAUAUAUACAGAGAGCUUCCAUUGAGGGAUCCCUCAAAUAAGCUUAUUUGAGGGACACCUCUUGUAGGCCUCACUACGGAUUGUAUUUCACUAAUCCAAACCGUCUAUUUUGUAGAUAUUCAUUCAAAGAUCAUCUCUACAAAAAAUCACUUGAAUCCGAUAUCAUGUGACCACUCAAUUGAGUUAUUGAAAUUUUAGUACUUUUCUUAAAGCACCGUGUUCAUUGAUUUUGUAAGACACAAUUGGAUGUUGAAACGGUUUCCGAUUUGUCUAAUUUUUUGUAAGGAUGAUCUAUGAAUGAAUACCUAAAAAAUAGAUGGUUUGGAUUCAUUGAGGGAUCCUUCAAAUUAGCUUAUUUGAGGGAUACCAUUAUAGGGCCCACUAUGUAUUGUAUUUCACUAAUCCAAACCGUCUCUUUUGUAGAUACUCAUUCAAAGAUCAUCUCUACAAAAAAAUCACUUGAAUCUGAUAUCAUUUGACCACUCAAUUGAAUUAUUGAAAUUUUAGUACUUUCUUAAAGCACUGUGUUCAUUGAUUUUGUAGAACACUAUUGGAUAUCAAAACAGUUUCCGAUUUGUGUAAUUUUUUUCAAGGAUGAUCUAUAAAUAUAGACUUAAAAAAUAGAUGGUUUCGAUCGUUGAAAAAAAAUUCGUUGGAAACCCUAAAGGGUGUCUCUCAAUAGAAGAGGACUAUAUAUAUAUAUAUAUAUAUAAAGGCAGAUGCAGAGAUGGUGAAAUAUUCAAAAUACCAAAAAGUGCACUUGGUUAAUAAAUUUUGGCUAUUUAUGUACAUGCCCUUGUACUUUCAAAGUUGUCUCAGAUUACCACAUGUGCUUUGAAACGUCUCAAAAUACCACCUUCAUUUUUAAAAACUGUCUCACGUUACCUAUUCCGUCAAUAUUAAGAGAAAUUCAUUUACGUGAUGUGGGCCCCACUUCUUUUCAAUCACUUAACAAUGGAGAGUAAGGGUUAUUCAGUUUUAAAAAAGAGGAUAUUUGGGUCCCACACCAUAUAACGGAAUGUCUCUUAAUACUGACAGAAUAGGUCACGUGAGACAGUUUUUAAAAGUGUGGAUGAUAUUUUGAAACGUUUUAAAACACAAGUGGUAAUCAGAGACAACUUUGAAAGUAUAAAAAGCAUGUACAUAAAUAAGU
rnacentral:lncRNA from 1 species